CCUCAGUCUCAAAUCGGAAGAACUCAUUUAAAAAAAAUCGGAAGAACUCCGCAGGGGGAGAAGAGAGGCCGAGCUCGAAGAUUGGCGUGCUACUGCACGCCCAAAGAGAGAGGGAUGGCCGGCGUUGCUGAUGGAGCGAGUUUCCCCCCUACCAUUCUUGUCCAUCUUUUUCUUGUUUGUCUUGUUCUUGUUCGUGGUACACCGUAGAUCUGAAGAGAUUAGGUUUGUUUUUUGUGUGGGUCAAGCGAAGAUAAAUAGCUUCAACUCUAUAAUCGACUCCAGGAUUUUUUUAGUUAUUUUUUUGUGUCAUUAUUGUUCAAGCAAUCAAUAGAUUGGAGGUGUUUUUUCUGUGGUUCAUGCGGAUGUAAGGUUUGGGAUAGUUUUUCUAGUGCAUCAAGGGUGGCCAGAGUGAGCGGCUGCUUUUGUUUUUUUGUUAGGUGAUGUAGAUGUAACGCCAAGUAAACUGCACUCUUUACUGUUUAAUUUCAGUUGGUUCAGUUAGUUUAGUUCUUUUUGAUUCUUUUUCUGAAAUUCAUGUCUGCUACGCUGUAGGAGUUCGUCACUGUGCCCAUGUAUCCAGUAGAGUAGAUGGCAUCUUGUAUGUCCAUAUUCCCCCCUAAUGCCUGUUCUUUUUUUGUUUUGUAUCAAAUAUGUGAUUAGUAGUUUCAAGCAGAGAAUCACCCCAUAGUUUAGACCUUAUUUUCUUAGGUUUGAUUCUUUUGUGCAUUGAUGCACAAUAGUCUCUCGCUCUCGCGUGUCUAUCGACAAUAUCGGUGAGGUGGAUUUUUGAUGAUGAAACCGGAUUCUUUGCUUGUAGCUAGAUUCACUUACCUCGAUAAAUAAAGCCCUGUUUUUAUGUGUCAUCUUUUUUGUCAUUCGGAUAUUUUGCUGCGUCUUUUGAGGUUCUUUCCAGUAAAGAUUAUUUUACAACCAGUAGCACUAAAUUUCUUAGUAGGCCAAUAGACUGAGAUGAAGUGUGUUUCUCUGCUGGAUUGUACUGGAAGUAGUUUUUUAUCAACAUGUUUUUUCUAUGCUUGUAGGUGCAUAUAGAGAAAUUUUUACACCGCUCCGUACAUCCUCUGUACAGAGAGUAUAGUGCACUUUUUUUACACCCUCUGUUCAUGAGUAGGUGACAAGAGAGAUGUGUGUUUAGGAUUUUUUGCGAAGUUGAACAUUCCUUUUUGUUUUUUAGUAUAUAAACCUCUGCUAGUUAUCCUUUUCUUUGGACACUUUUUUUCUUCUUGUUUUUUAUCUGGUGAGUGCUAUCACUUAUACUGUUCUUAACUGGGAUAUUUUUGGUGUCUCAAGAAGUGCUUCUCUCAUAUCCCCUCAUACACAUUACUGAAACCAUUAGUAGGAGUGAUUCAAUCGCUUGUUUUGUUUUAUUCUAGUCGAGAGGAGUAGGUCGAAGAAUAUGACUAUUGCUGAAACAUUACUUUCGCGAAAUCAGUUCCAUGUUUUUUGAGGAUUAUCUCUGAACUCAAAUCCCCUCAUAUGUAUUACUGGACCAUCACUAGGAGUUGUAUAGCCUUUCUCUUUGUUUUACUUAGGUUUUUCGCUGAAAUCUUUUCUCUCGAAACAAGAGAGAUCUUUUAUUACUGCAUGUAUUAGCAGUAGUGUGGUAUGUUUUUUUUUAUUUCUCAUAAUCCCUAUCUAAUCUGCAGCAUGUUUUUUUCUGAAAUCUUUUCUUUUUGUAAACAGGAGAUAUUACUGCUGAAAUCUAUCACUAGGGAGUGGGUUGUUUAUUUUUUAUUUAUUUUUUUGCUUUGACACUUUUUUUAAUUCAGAAGCAUGUUCAAAUCUAUCUUUUUUUGCGUAAUCAAAAAGAGAAUGAUUUAAUGAAAGUAAGUUUCUAGCAGCAGCAUGUUUUAUUUUUUUCGCCCUAAAAACCAUAUGAAAUUAGUGCAUUGUUAAUUUUUUUCUUUUGUAUAUGAAUUAAUAUGUUCUUUUGAUAGAUUCAUCGUCUUUUUUAUCUCCACAUCGCAAAUGUAUAUAUGUUUCUUUUUUUCAUCAGCGGCGACGCAAUGAUAUAUUAUCGUUAUGUCGAAAUCCUUUUUCUUCGGAAGCAUACAAGUUUUUUUUGCACUAAAAAUAAUUUAGCUGAAUAUGUAUGCGUAUCAGUAGCACAUAUUUAUGUUUUUGGCCUUAUUUUUAUGUGCAUAGGAGAUGGUUUUCAGAGUUUGUCUGAGCCCUUGCUACCGUGAGAGCAACAAGCGGCAUCAACAUGUAUGUCUAGAAGGAGUUCAAAAAUACAGGAGUAACUCCACAGCCUUUAUAUUUUUUUGUUUUUUUCAUUGUCUGAUCCUUAUUUUUAUAGGUUAUACUUAUUAUCAAAUAAUAUAUUUAUUGAAGGUUUAUUUUUCAUUGUCUGAUCCUGGAGUUUUCGAAAUAGAGGGGAGCCCAUAGUUUAACGAGUUGUUUACACUGAAUCAUUGUUUUUUUAUCAAGCGUGCCAAGCUCUUAUGAUAUGGUUGGUUCAUUUUUUAGGAGUUCAGUGUAUCUUUUUUGUAGCCAUUUUUUUCCUUACCCAUGUAUAAUGUACAAUGUGAGGGCAUAGACUUUUUGUAGAAUUUUUUUGGUAUGAUGUUUGUGUUCAACUUGUUGAUGCCGCCUGUUAAUGUACAAUGUUUGUUUUUUAAGAGUUCAGUUGUAUGUCCCAUACUAGGUAUGCAACCACACGUCUUCUACAAUGGUCGCAACUUGGGGGACCUUUGUUUUGUUGGAGGUGGCGGUGUCGAGAGAGAGGGGCCCAGUUGCAUGCCCCCACACUAGACAUGCAACUGCAUGUCUUCGAGCACGGUCGCAACUGCAUGUCUUAUAACUUGGUUGCAACUCUGACUUUGCCAGUUUCAUGUCCCACAAUGGGCACGCGGCUGCAUGUCUGCUUACUUGGUCGCAACUAGGGACCUUUGUUUUGUUGGAGGGAGCGGGGUUGAGAGAGAUGGCCCCAGUUGCAUGUCCCAUACUAGGCAUGCAACUGCAUGUCUUUUAACUUGGUCGCAACUAGGGGGCCUUUGUUUUGUCGUAUGGGGCCGCAUCGAGAGAGAUGGGUCCAGUUGCAUGUCCCGCACUAGGCGUAUAACUCCAUGUCUUCUAACUUGGUCACAACUUGGGGGAACCUUUUCUUUGUCGAAGGGGCCUACGUCGAGAGAGAGGAGCCCAGUUGCAUGCCCCACACUAGACACGCAACUGCAUGUCUUCGAGCAUGGUCGCAACUUCAUGUCUUAUAACUUGGUUGCAACACGACUUUUGCCAGUUCUCAUGUCCCACAAUGGGCANNNNNNNNNNNNNNNNNNNNNNNNNNNNNNNNNNNNNNNNNNNNNNNNNNNNNNNNNNNNNNNNNNNNNNNNNNNNNNNNNNNNNNNNNNNNNNNNNNNNNNNNNNNNNNNNNNNNNNNNNNNNNNNNNNNNNNNNNNNNNNNNNNNNNNNNNNNNNNNNNNNNNNNNNNNNNNNNNNNNNNNNNNNNNNNNNNNNNNNNCUAGGCACACAACUGCAUGUCUUCUUACAUGGUCGCAAUUGGGGGGACCUUUGUUUUGUCGGAGGGGGGGCGCGUCGAGAGAGAUGGGGCCAGUUGAAUGUCCCACACUAGGCACGUAAUUGCAUGUCUUCUAACUUGGUGGCAGCUUGGGGGACCUUUGUUUUGUCGGAGGUGGCGGCAUCGAGAGAGAGGGGCCCAGUUGCAUGCCCCCACACUAGACACGCAACUGCAUGUCUUAUAACUUGGUUACAACUCCGACUUUGCCAGUUUCAUGUCCCACAAUGGGCACACAACUGCAUGUAUUCUUACUUGGUCGCAAUUGGGGACUUUUCUUUUGUCCGAGGGAGCGGCGUCGAGAGAGAUGGGCCCUAGUUGCAUGUCCCACACUAGGCACGCAACUGCAUGUCUUUUAACUUGGUCGCAACUCGGGGGAGGCAGUUGCAUGCCCCACACUAGGCACGUAACUACAUGUCUUCGAGCAUGGUCGCAACUUCAUGUCUUAUAACUUGGUUGCGACUUCGACUUUGCCAGUUUCAUGUCCCACAUUGGGCACGCAACUGCAUGUCUUUUUACUACGGUCGCAACUGGGGACCUUUGUUUUGUCAGAGGGGGCGGCGUCUAGAGACAUGGUGUCAGGACCCCGGCUCAAUGCCACAUCGAUCUAGCAUGUAACACCUCAUAUCACUUUGCGGCCUCACACACGGUAUUCCCACGGGUGUCGCCUUACCUUUGCCCGGGACCGUUUGCGCCUUUUGGCACACGUAUAUGACAGUGUCGCUAGCAUCCAUAUGAUAAGGAGCCCGGGCUGACAUGGCUAGUCGUAAACCCAAAGCGGCACAGACUUACAGGGACAGGCAUCCAUGACCCAGCAUCGAACGUGUCGGUCAUCAGCGAGUGAAUCCAGGCUGUAGCACUGGGCUAGCAGGACUCCGGUGAACCGGGCUGUAGCGGGCUAACAGGACUCCGGUAUUCACCGCGUGACAUUUCCCCGAAGGGACAGACACAGGAACGAAGAAGGACACAUGCCGGCCAGCCUAAGUGUUCCGGAGCAGUAGCAAGCUACCGUGUAUCAGUGGAAACACUAGGAGACAUUUCCCGGUAAGAGAGGCUACUAAAGAUAAACAACUAGAUGGUCAGAUCCCACACAUACCAAGCAUUUCAAUAACAUACACACAAUAUGCUCGAUAUGUGCAAUACAACAUGGCAUCACAAAAUGACUCUACGACUCAAGUAGUUUAUUCAAUAGGCUCCGAGGAGCGAGAUAUUACAAACAUGGGUCUCAUGACCCAACAUUCAGAGCAUACAAAUCAAGCACAAGCGGAAGCUAUCAUGUCUGAGUACAGACAUCUAUAAAUGAAAAAGGCUGAGAAGCCUGACUAUCUACCAAAUCCUGCCGAGGCACAAGAUCGUAGCUGAGGUAACAAGCUAAACGUCGAAGACCACACGGAAAUACUAGUGAGACUGAAGUCUCUCUGCAAAAACAUAAAAUAGGCAAACGUGAGUACAAAUGUACCCAGCAAGACUUACAUCAGAACUAUCUACAUAUGCAUCAUUAUCAACAAAGGGAUGGUGGGGUUUAACUGCAGCAAGCCAGCUUUGACUCGGUGGCUAUCCUGAACUACGACUGCGAGUAACUUUUUUGAGGUGGCGCACACGAGUCCACAUAUUCACCAUAUCAAUACACCACUAUGGAUCCGCUCCCGUCUCCCUACGAGAACGCCAUCCAUAGCACUCACGCUUAUCUUGCGUAUUUUAGGGUAUCCACUUUCACUUGUCUAUGAACUGAUAUAAGCAACCCAGAAGUCCUUUUCCGCGGACACGGCUAUUCGAAUAGAUGAUGAUAACCCUGCAGGGGUGUACUUCUUCAUACAUGUUUCCACCACUUAGCGUCUGCACACGACAUGUGCUCGGCAGACUUCAAGCGAAAGCCGACGUGGGUGUAGACCACGACCUACCUAAACACUCAAGUCUCUAGUCCAGGUUUAUCGCCUAUUCGGAUUCCAUCCAUGAGGAGAUCCGGCCGGAGUUUCGCUCACAGCCCCAAACGAUGUGAACAGGGUUCUGUGACACCAGACGGGCGCCCGGUUUACCCGGCCACGUGCCUACCGCAUCACAGCCCACCCCUACGGUCAGCGCUGUCCACGGCCUCCAGCAUACUACAAACACCAGAAACUACUUGCAACUCCUGGACAGAGGACAAGGGUGAAUAAGAAGUCGAGCGGGGUCAUAUUUCAGGGCCCAAUGUAUGGUAGUAGCUGAAUCAUGGAUCACAAACACAGAACUCAGUUCCUGAGGACGGCUACAAUGAGACAACCCACCAUGUACUCCUACAUGGCCUCUCACCGCUACCUUUACCAAAUCGUGUUCACACACUUAGCUCACACAUAGUAGGACAUGUUCACACGCCUCUGAUUCAUCCCCGAUGAAUCAGACCUGACUCAACUCUAAGCAGUAGCAGGCAUGACAAACAAACAUGAAUGAGUAGGCACAACAGGGCUCAAACAACUCCUACUCAUGCUAGUGGGUUUCAUCUAUUUACUGUGGCAAUGACAGGUCAUGCAGAGGAUGAAGGGGUUCAGCUACCGCAGCAAGUAACAGAUGAAUCGGUGUUGUCCUAAUGCAUUAAAAGAGAGCAGGAGCGAGAGAGUAGGAUUGUAUCGGAAUGAACAAGGGGGUUUUGCUUGCCUGGCACUUCUGAAGAUAACAUUGAGUCUUCAUCAGUGUCAACGAUCACAUCAUCGGUAUCACGUCUAUCGAGAGGGGACAAAUACCGGCAACACAGAAAGGAACACAAUCAAUGCAAUGCACAAUAUGAUGCAUGAUCAUGACAUGGCAAAAUGAAUGUGUUUUGGGCUAAUGCAACUAGCAACAGAUUAAAUGAAGUUGGUUUGAAUACAAGAUUCAAAUUCAAACUCCAUAUGUGAUUAUUUAAAUGCCCUUUAAUUGAUUUGCCCUAAACAGUAGUGAUAAGUUGUUCUAACAUGCAUGAAAAUGGUACAGAUGGAUUCCUUGAAUUUUUCUGAUAAUUUUUCAUAUAUAAAAUAUUUAAUUUGGAGUUACGGUUAAUUUUCUAUGAUUUUUAGAAGUUUUAGACAUUUUCUGGAAUUUUCUGAUUAUUUAGAAUUAAAACAAUUCCAGAAAAUUAAUUAUGACAUCAGCACUGCGUCAUGCUUGCGUCAGCAAGUCAACAGGGCUGCCCCGGGUCAAACCUGACCUAUGGGACCCACAUGUCAGCUGCACAGUGAUUUAACAGAGUUUAAAUAACUUAACUAAAUGGUUAGCCGGGAUAAUUAAAGGGUAGGGCCCACCUGUCAGUGUCCGCAGGGGGGGUUGUUUAAUUAAAUUAAACUAACUAAUUAACAGGGGGCUGGCCCCACCUGUCAUCGACCCAGGGGGGUCAAACCUCGGUCAAAUGACCCAAACAGGCCGGCGGCUCAACGCCGGCGGCAACAGGCACGGCGGAGGGCUUCGGGAUCGCUCCUCCGGCGUCCAAAUGGACGGAGGAGAGCGGCUACGGGGAGCUGGAGCUCACCCGCACCCGUUUCAGCAAGCGGCAGCAGCUAGGGCGGCCGGGGACGAUGGCCCCGAGCUCGGCAGCGGCGGCCGGAGCUCGGGCGUGCUCGGGUUCGGCGUUACACGGCACGGCGAGGUCAGCUGAUGGGCUCUACGGGAUGCUGGGGUCACCAGGAACACCCGGAGACAACGAGCGCAGGCGGAGGAGCUCGGGAGCACGGAGCUCACCGGCCAUGGCGGACGGCAGCUUCGGGUGCUCGUGGGGCGGCGGCUACAGGGUGCACGCGAGGGAGAGAGAUGAGGGGAAACGAUGGCAAGCUCACAGGGGUUGCGACGGUGGCCUCGGGGAGCUCGGGGAGGCACCGGAGCCGACGAAUUUGACGAAGAUGGCCGGCGGGUCCGAGGUGGAAGACGACGGCGAUUGCGGUGAUGCAGGGGCUCCCGCGGUGUGCUUCUCGGCGAGGAGGAAGAGGGGGUCGGGGCGGAUCUCCUGGGUACUUCGGGUGGCAGUGGGGAGCACGGUGGCUACGGCGAACGGCGUCGGCGACGACGAGCUCCGCUCGAGCGCGUGCAGGGAGAGAGCAGAGGAGGGAACGGGGUCCAGGGGAAGAGAGGGGAGGUGCAGGGGCGAGGGGGAGUGCGUGGCGCCCUCGGGUGCCUCCAGCGGCGAGCGGGUAAGCAGGAGGUGGCCGGAGCGUGCGCGCGCGCGUCGGGCACACGCCCUCCUGCCUACUGGCAGGAGGUUGAAGACGGUGGCGACCGCGGUGGGCUGGGCCGCACAGUGCUGGACCAGCACAGGAGCUGGGCCGGCUCUGGUGGGCUGCACAGGUAAGCUUUGCUCCUUUUAUUUUUUUCUGUUCUGUUUCCCUUUUUAUUUUAUUUUGCCACUGUUUUCAAAUUCAAAAUAAUUUCAUACAGUGCCAAAACAUUCUGAAAUAUUUUAUGUUACCUCUCUGGACUAUUCCAAAAGUACAUAAAAUAUUUCAAAGCAUUUGAAAAUAUAUUCAUUAUAUAUUAUGAAUAUAUCCCCAAAUUCAAAUAGAUUAUUGAUUUAAAUUCAGAGACCAAAUAAUUCCUUAAAAAUAUUCCAGAAUUUUGGUUUGAUAUAUAACUCUUGCCAAAAUUCACAAAACUAUUUUUAGGGCAUUUUGGAUUCACAGAAUGCAAUUUAAGGGUUGCUUGCCCUUCUUUUAAUUAGGGUUUUGAGGCUUCUGAAUUCCUCAGUUCAAAUUUCAUUUGAAUUUAAACAUGAUGCAGCAACCAAGCUAGUACAAGGCCAAGGUAGAGCUAGGGAUGUGACAACUCACCCCCACUAAACAAGAAUCUCGUCUCGAGAUUCAAGCGUAGGGUAAGGUGAAGGAAAACGCAACUAGUAUAAUCUUCACGAUCCAGGGUGCACUUCAAUUGAACAUCGAUUCAUUCACCAUCUUUGCCUUGUCGUCUUGCUCUGAGAAAUCCUGCCACAUGACAUGGAGGGAAGAAGGAGACUCUAGAAGGGUCGAUCUUCUCGAAGAUCGAACAACUCACGGAAUGAGACAUAGCAACAUCUCUUGAGCUGGGAGACGAAGCACAGAUUUGAAGAAAUGGAGUAGAACAGAUGACGAAGGUUCACUAGGUGGACAACGAUUCCACGCUUAAGAAGGUGGUAAACGAUUGCCAACGUAGCGAAGAGUUGAAUUGCCAUGAUACCAUAACGAUACACCUUAGGGAAAGGUGACUCGAAGAUACAUCCCCUUAAGUGGCAAAAAGAAUUACUUUUGAUUCAGAGAUCAUUGAAACUCUUUAAACCAGCCUAAGACAAUUCUCGAGCGAUCGUUUGGAGGGGGUCGGUAGAAUGACAUACUCGGACUUGGAUGAUGUGGAUUACCUUGUUGAAGACAACGCAAUGGAUGAAUUUACUUAUCACCGGAAAUGGAAGAGAUCCAUGGUAGAAUGGCACAUUGGUGGUGCAAGCUGGGAACAAAAUGCAAAUGCUGGGAAUGAUUCUGGUAACUGGGGAAGAACCCAACAAUAGGGAGUGAAUUCACUGUUGGAGUGGUUAUAGCAUAACCGAAGAAUCUGGGGCAAUCCCAGCUAGAGCCGAUGAUAAGACGUAGCGCUUGUGCGUGCUCUCAAGAACUUGAGCAUUUCCAUAUUCAUCAAGGUUUUACCAACAUCCGUGUCAAGGGUCCGGUAACACAACUUGCUGCCAUGAUGAAUGAUGACGGAUGAUGCAGAUGCAAAGGAAGAUAACACCUUCUCAGAUUUCACCCUUGGAGGGGCCAAGGAGAUAGAAUCUGGAUGAUCGACCGAGAGACAUUUAGCACUCUGCUUCUAAUGUUCUCCUUGAUGCGCUAGUGUAUCCCAUUCAUUGAAAUGGUUUGGUAUCUAGAACAUCAAGUAAAGGUCGGACUUCGGGAACAAUAGAAUCCAUAAGGAACAGUUACGGAGGUAAAUCCUACGAAAUCCUUAUGGGGAGGUGGCCAAUUUCCUCAAACAAGAUAUUACAAUAAUAGGUCUUCCGGCUGGGUGUUUUGGCCACGACAUCCAUUUUACCGAUUAUCGAGGGACCAAUAUUAUAAUUCUUGGAAAAUGUUCCAAACCAUCAUAUCUGCCUGAGAUUCAGAUCUGGUUGGUGUCAGGAUAUUCCAGACUUAUCGAGUCUAGGAAGAAAAAUGAAAGUUUGCAACACAAGUCGACGAGAUGACGUUGCGAGAUUCUCGGGAGAUGAACUACGAUAGCAAGCUCCAAAACAUGAGCUGGUUCUGCUACAAACAUGUGAACACGCUGUCCAAGACAAGCAUGAUCACAAGGUAGUCUUAUAAUAAAACACUACCGAGUUCAGGUGGGGGAACCAUCAUUAAUGACAUCGAAGUCUCCACGCGUGGAAGUCCAAAGAGUUCACCUUGGACAGACUCCUUUAUCUUUGAACAACUCAAUCAGUGGCUUGGUGUGCUAGGAUAUACAUAUAGAAUGAAGGUUGCAAGUCUUCAAACCACAGAAUUCUUCGCACGUGUGCAUGACUGAUUUGGAAUGAUUCCAAGAAAACAACAUUGACUUUCUCGAAUCCACGGUGGCAACUUGCAUCAGAUGCACAUGAAUUAACGGAAGUCACUACCUUCAUCCAAACAUAUGCUUCAUGAGCUAGCAUGAACAAAUGCUUUCAAAAAUUUCCAACACUAACUUAAUGUUCAACAAAAUUAUGGAGAAGACAAGGAUGUUGUCAAUGGGCUCAACAACAAUUCAUCUGGGUUCCCUGUUAAAAGGAAUUCCAUAGUUAAGUGAACACGGUGAUAGCAUUGGUCAGACCAAAGAUGUAAUGGUGUAUGCUCGAGGAAUCAACCACGAAUAAGACAACAUUACAAGCAUCGUUAGUACUGAUUUGAUUUGACGAUAGCCCACACUCAAAUCAAAGGAUUGAUAAGACAAUAGGUCCAGCAACUGAUCACAAGGACCAAUCGAUGAAGAUAUCAUCUUUCUUCAACACACACUACACAAGAAUAUCCCUCUGGAACGAACUAAGUCAGACAAGCUUUUAUCUUCCAACUCUCCAAGUUGUUGUCUAGCUUAACCAACUAGCUCAGGGAUAUCCAUCACAGAUUCUUGGAGAAAGGGUGGUUCACAAGAACCCGACUUGAUCACGAGCUCAACAUAGCAGUCAGGUGACAACCUGGUAAUACUUCCGAGAAGAUAUUCGGAAAAUCACGAACCACCGGUAUGUUACUAAGCUUGAGAACAAUCUCGCUUUUGAGGGCAAGACGAUAUGAUCAAAUGAGUGAGGACUUUGGCAAGAUCCUAAUUCAUCAAUCGAAGGGUGCACCGAAAUAAGGACUAGGUAGCACGAUCAGUCUUAGAAGGAUGAUUCAAAAACCAACAUACUAAGAAUGAAAUUAUUAUCCUUUAACUACCAAGCAACGAGGUUGCUGGGAGUAUUGAUUUCACACAUCACAAUUCAUUUGUCGGUAUUCCGGUUGCAUCAACACGAGGGCCGAGGAAUGAACAGUGAUGGCAAGAAGUAUCACUGUACCAAGAGUUCAUGGGAUGGUGUGCAAUUCCUAUAACAAUCUCGAUAUAAAAUAUGUAAUACUCCAAGGUAGAACAGAACCAAAAGCUGGAUUAGCAAUUAGAUCUGUGGAGCACAACUUCUUUGACCCAAUCCUGGAUAUGGAAGAGGUACUGGAGUUUGUUUCUCCAAGUCAUUCAGGACAGAAUGGCUUGACGGACCACAAGAGUAAUAGGCAUCGAUAAACGAACGCACGCAUACUCUUGACUAUCAAUUGAUAGACGAGGGUCAGAAUGCAACUACGGAGAACAACUCAAAGGAACAUAUAAUUUUCUGAGUUGUGGAUGCAUAGAUUAGUAUGUCGAACCAAGUUCAACAUAUUUCUUCCGGAUAACCCAUGCAGAAAGGUAGAACUGGCAGAGUCACGAUUUAUGAAUGGAGAACUCCUCAAGAGUACUCUAAUUGUGAUCUUUUAAUCCAAUAAACAUCUGCCAUAAGCGGUUCAUAGUAUUUGGAAGAAGGAAAUACCACGGACCUUGAGGACUAUCGCAAAGUUACUAAUAUCCUGAAGGAACUAGCAAACACUAUCAACAUGAAGUAAGUAGAGUGAAUCUCGGGUUCAAAGCCCAAGGAAUAGAAUGCCUACUAACUAAGUGGCAUCACGGGAUGCUUUCGAGAAUAAAAGCCAGAAUCAUCACACUGGGGAUCACAAAACAUUGCUAGAUUACUAGGUGACUCCCUAAACACCUAGGGCCAUAAUAGUAUCUCCAACAUAUAUGUCAAGGUAACGGAGUACCUCAACUCACUGAUUAGUGUGGUUAAUCUGGCCCAUGGGAACAUUGAAACAGGAAGAAAGGAUUUGCAUUUGCAUCAGACUACUUAGAAACCUGGGAUGACUCGGACAGCAUAACGGCUGUAAAUGCUCAGAAAAGAUUUGAGACAUUCACAGAAAUGGUGGCAUAACCACUUAGAAGCACAAUAUCAAGGUUCCGAGAUCAGCAAUUAUCAUACGGAAGUAGUAGGAACUAAACUGAGACUUAAAUCCAACAAUCUUAUAAGUCUAUGGAUUAGUAACACGUGAUCCUGAUAGAAAGAAGAGAUAGCCUAGUUCUUAAUCCCCGCAGGAAAGAAAAGAUGACUCAGAUCAGAAGGCAUAAGGUAUAAGGAGUAAAAGAGCCUUACGUUCCAUCCCACAAUCAAUUCCCUUAUAUAACUAAAGAAUUUCUAGACUCAACUUCGACCAGUUUGGCUUGGUAAUCCUACAGGCAGUCAAGCUCUGAUACCAACGCUGUCAGGACCCCGGCUCAAUGCCACAUCGAUCUAGCAUGUAACACCUCAUAUCACUUUGCGGCCUCACGCACGGUAUUCCCACGGGUGUCGCCUUACCUUUGCCCGGGACCGUUUGCGCCUUUUGGCACACGUAUAUGACAGUGUCGCUAGCAUCCAUAUGAUAAGGAGCCCGGGCUGACAUGGCUAGUCGUAAACCCAAAGCGGCACAGACUUACAGGGACAGGCAUCCAUGACCCAGCAUCGAACGUGUCGGUCAUCAGCGAGUGAAUCCAGGCUGUAGCACUGGGCUAGCAGGACUCCGGUGAACCGGGCUGUAGCGGGCUAACAGGACUCCGGUAUUCACCGCGUGACAUUUCCCCGAAGGGACAGACACAGGAACGAAGAAGGACACAUGCCGGCCAGCCUAAGUGUUUCGGAGCAGUAGCAAGCUACCAUGGCUCGGUGGAAACACUAGGAGACAUUUCCCCGUAAGAGAGGCUACUAAAGAUAAACAACUAGAUGGUCAGAUCCCACACAUACCAAGCAUUUCAAUAACAUACACACAAUAUGCUCGAUAUGUGCAAAUACAACAUGGCAUCACAACAUGACUCUACGACUCAAGUAAUUUAUUCAAUAGGCUCCAAGGAGCGAGAUAUUACAAACAUGGGUCUCAUGACCCAACAAUCAGAGCAUACAAAUCAAAGCACAAGCGGAAGCUAUCAUGUCUGGGUACAGACAUCUAUAACUGAAAAAGGCUGAGAAGCCUGACUAUCUACCAGAUCCUGCCGGGGCACAAGAUCGUAGCUGAGGUAACAAGCUAAACGUCGAAGUCCACGCGAAACUACUAGUGAGACCGAAGUCUCUCUGCAAAAACAUAAAAUAGGCAAACGUGAGUACAAAUGUACCCAGCAAGACUUACAUCAGAACUAACUACAUAUGCAUCAUUAUCAACAAAGGGGAUGGUGGGGUUUAACUGCAGCAAGCCAGCUUUGACUCGGUGGCUAUCCUAAACUACGACUGCAAGCGACUCUUUUGAGGUGGCGCACACGAGUCCACAUAUUCACCAUAUCAAUACACCACUAUGGAUCCGCUCCCGUCUCCCUACGAGAACGCCAUCCAUAGCACUCACGCUUAUCUUGCGUAUUUUAGGGUAUCCACUUUCACUUGUCUAUGAACUGAUAUAAGCAACCCAGAAGUCCUUUUCCGCGGACACGGCUAUUCGAAUAGAUGAUGAUAACCCUGCAGGGGUGUACUUCUUCAUACAUGUUUCCACCACUUAGCGUCUGCACACGACAUGUGCUCGGCAGACUUCAAGCGAAAGCCGACGUGGGUGUAGACCACGACCUACCUAAACACUCAAGUCUCUAGUCCAGGUUUAUCGCCUAUUCGGAUUCCAUCCAUGAGGAGAUCCGGCCGGAGUUUCGCUCACAGCCCCAAACGAUGUGAACAGGGUUCUGUGACACCAGACGGGCGCCCGGUUUACCCGGCCACGUGCCUACCGCAUCACAGCCCACCCCUACGGUCAGCGCUGUCCACGGCCUCCAGCAUACUACAAACACCAGAAACUACUUGCAACUCCUGGACAGAGGACAAGGGUGAAUAAGAAGUCGAGCGGGGUCAUAUUUCAGGGCCCAAUGUAUGGUAGUAGCUGAAUCAUGGAUCACAAACACAGAACUCAGUUCCUGAGGACGGCUACAAUGAGACAACCCACCAUGUACUCCUACAUGGCCUCUCACCGCUACCUUUACCAAAUCGUGUUCACACACUUAGCUCACACAUAGUAGGACAUGUUCACACGCCUCUGAUUCAUCCCCGAUGAAUCAGACCUGACUCAACUCUAAGCAGUAGCAGGCAUGACAAACAAACAUGAAUGAGUAGGCACAACAGGGCUCAAACAACUCCUACUCAUGCUAGUGGGUUUCAUCUAUUUACUGUGGCAAUGACAGGUCAUGCAGAGGAUGAAGGGGUUCAGCUACCGCAGCAAGUAACAGAUGAAUCGGUGUUGUCCUAAUGCAUUAAAAGAGAGCAGGAGCGAGAGAGUAGGAUUGUAUCGGAAUGAACAAGGGGGUUUUGCUUGCCUGGCACUUCUGAAGAUAACAUUGAGUCUUCAUCAGUGUCAACGAUCACAUCAUCGGUAUCACGUCUAUCGAGAGGGGACAAAUACCGGCAACACAGAAAGGAACACAAUCAAUGCAAUGCACAAUAUGAUGCAUGAUCAUGACAUGGCAAAAUGAAUGUGUUUUGGGCUAAUGCAACUAGCAACAGAUUAAAUGAAGUUGGUUUGAAUACAAGAUUCAAAUUCAAACUCCAUAUGUGAUUAUUUAAAUGCCCUUUAAUUGAUUUGCCCUAAACAGUAGUGAUAAGUUGUUCUAACAUGCAUGAAAAUGGUACAGAUGGAUUCCUUGAAUUUUUCUGAUAAUUUUUCAUAUAUAAAAUAUUUAAUUUGGAGUUACGGUUAAUUUUCUAUGAUUUUUAGAAGUUUUAGACAUUUUCUGGAAUUUUCUGAUUAUUUAGAAUUAAAACAAUUCCAGAAAAUUAAUUAUGACAUCAGCACUGCGUCAUGCUUGCGUCAGCAAGUCAACAGGGCUGCCCCGGGUCAAACCUGACCUAUGGGACCCACAUGUCAGCUGCAUAGUGAUUUAACAGAGUUUAAAUAACUUAACUAAAUGGUUAGCCGGGUUAAUUAAAGGGUAGGGCCCACCUGUCAGUGUCCGCAGGGGGGGUUGUUUAAUUAAAUUAAACUAACUAAUUAACAGGGGCUGGCCCCACCUGUCAUCGACCCAGGGGGGUCAAACCUCGGUCAAAUGACCCAAACAGGCCGGCGGCUCAACGCCGGCGGCAACAGGCACGGCGGAGGGCUUCGGGAUCGCUCCUCCGGCGUCCAAAUGGACGGAGGAGAGCGGCUACGGGGAGCUGGAGCUCACCCGCACCCGUUUCAGCAAGCAGCAGCAGCUAGGGCGGCCGGGGACGAUGGCCCCGAGCUCGGCAGCGGCGGCCGGAGCUCGGGCGUGCUCGGGUUCGGCGUUACACGGCACGGCGAGGUCAGCUGAUGGGCUCUACGGGAUGCUGGGGUCACCAGGAACACCCGGAGACAACGAGCGCAGGCGGAGGAGCUCGGGAGCACGGAGCUCACCGGCCAUGGCGGACGGCAGCUUCGGGUGCUCGUGGGGCGGCGGCUACAGGGUGCACGCGAGGGAGAGAGAUGAGGGGAAACGACAGCAAGCUCACAGGGGUUGCGACGGUGGCCUCGGGGAGCUCGGGGAGGCACCGGAGCCGACGAAUUUGACGAAGAUGGCCGGCGGGUCCGAGGUGGAAGACGACGGCGAUGGCGGUGAUGCAGGGGCUCCCGCGGUGUGCUUCUCGGCGAGGAGGAAGAGGGGGUCGGGGCGGAUCUCCUGGGUACUUCGGGUGGCAGUGGGGAGCACGGUGGCUACGGCGAACGGCGUCGGUGACGACGAGCUCCGCUCGGGCGCGUGCAGGGAGAGAGCAGAGGAGGGAACGGGGUCCAGGGGAAGAGAGGGGAGGUGCAGGGGCGAGGGGGAGUGCGUGGCGCCCUCGGGUGCCUCCAGCGGCGAGCGGGUAAGCAGGAGGUGGCCGGAGCGUGCGCGCGCGCGUCGGGCACACGCCCUCCUGCCUACUGGCAGGAGGUUGAAGACGGUGGCGACCGCGGUGGGCUGGGCCGCACAGUGCUGGACCAGCACAGGAGCUGGGCUGGCUCUGGUGGGCUGCACAGGUAAGCUUUGCUCCUUUUAUUUUUUUCUGUUCUGUUUCCCUUUUUAUUUUAUUUUGCCACUGUUUUCAAAUUCAAAAUAAUUUCAUACAGUGCCAAAACAUUCUGAAAUAUUUUAUGUUACCUCUCUGGACUAUUCCAAAAGUACAUAAAAUAUUUCAAAGCAUUUGAAAAUAUAUUCAUUAUAUAUUAUGAAUAUAUCCCCAAAUUCAAAUAGAUUAUUGAUUUAAAUUCAGAGACCAAAUAAUUCCUUAAAAAUAUUCCAGAAUUUUGGUUUGAUAUAUAACUCUUGCCAAAAUUCACAAAACUAUUUUUAGGGCAUUUUGGAUUCACAGAAUGCAAUUUAAGGGUUGCUUGCCCUUCUUUUAAUUAGGGUUUUGAGGCUUCUGAAUUCCUCAGUUCAAAUUUCAUUUGAAUUUAAACAUGAUGCAGCAACCAAGCUAGUACAAGGCCAAGGUAGAGCUAGGGAUGUGACACAUGGGGCCAAUUGCAUGUCCCUCAGUAGGCAUGCAACUGCAUAUCUUUUAACUUGGUUGCAAUUGGGGGACCUUUGUUUUGUCGGAGGGGGCAACAAUGAUAGAGAGGUGACCAGCUGCAUGUCCAACUAUACUCAUGCAACCACGUGUCUUUCUAGCAUGGUCAUACUUAGUGUCUUCUAACUUAGUUUCAACUAGGGGCCUUUGUUUUGUCGGAGGGGUGGCGGUAAGAGAGAGGGGGCAACUAUUCAUGCAACUAGAUGAUGCCCCGCACGUUGUUGUGGGAAUGUUUGCAAUAUUUCAACGAGAUUUUGAUUAUAUGGAACAUGAAUUCUUGAAACAAUAGUUUUUGAAAGUAUAUAAGAAUUAAAUGUAAAUAGCAUAAUAAAAUGAAAUUACAUGCAUGCAUGUUGUAGUGGGUUUUUAAUAUGAAUAGUUGCAUGUUGAGGUGGGCCUUUCCUUAUGCAUGUUGAAUGAUGAGGUGGCAUGCUUGCAUGUUGAGAGAAAUAUGUUAGUGGGGGCUAGCUAUUUAGAUAUAAAAGAUAAAAGAUUUGCAAGGGCGGUCCCCCGGACUAUAACUAUGUCUCUUUACAUACAUUUUCGCAACUAGAUUUUUUUUGCUUGGUCGGAAGGUGGCAGCUCCCCCGCGAAUCCUCUACCCUCGCUAUGUGUCACACGAGCACCAUAACACCGCCGUUUUUUGCCAUGCCUGCAAACACAAAUCAAGCACCCGAUCUCACAACUAGUUUGUGUGUUUUUAUCUUUUUUUUAAUCAUAUACAUUUUUGCAUUUUUUGUUUUUCCCAAGGAUUUAAUAAAAAAAUCAAAUUUGUUUUUUGCAUUUGAUUCUGACAGCGCAGCUCAUUUUCAAAAAAGGGGAGCAUAUUAAAGGAGAGAAGAGUUACUUGUCCAGAUUCUCGGGCACAGCAGCUGCGCCGGUGGUGCUGCCCGACGAAAAGGGGGCAGGGGAAGCGCGGCCGUCUUCUCCAUCGUCCUCCGGCGCCGCCCCGGUCAGCGAGAUGGGGAACUUGGUAGGACUACAUCUGAAUUUUCUGUGCUUUAUGAGAGCAUUAGUCUAAUUCUGUUCACUGUCAGUAGACAUUUUGUGGUUGUGAAUUUACAAGUAUCCAAGUUCACUGUCAGUAGACAUGUCUGAAUUACUUAAGCAACAUGCUUGUAAGUGUUCAAUACUCCUGUAGUACUACCGUGUAAGUGAUCUGCACCUGUUAGUUUUUUACCACUAUAGUUGAUGGAUGUAGCUACCUUAUGUGUCUCUCAAGGUAGGAGAUUUGUUGCUGAUAAUCUUGACUAAUUAAGGCAUCUCUUAAUCUUUUCGACAUCAAUUUUUCCACAUUUAUUCAAAAGUUAUUCUGCUUUUAGCUUUCUCUCUCCAACUCAUGGAAUGUUGGAUUUGUAGUGCCUGUUUUGGUUUUGUUUGUCUGAACUACCAAAACAGACACUUGAUGUUUUACAUUUCCAUAAGAAAAUCUAGGAGUGUUUCCUUUUACUAGUUACAAUUAGCAAUAUGUGAACGGAUUAACCAUCCUCACUUACUCUCUACCACAGUUUUAUGACAAGCUUUUAUUAUCUCAGAUUUGUUUGUUUGCCCACUAGGGGAUAUAUGGUGCGAAUCUAGAUUCUGGGAUGGAGUUUGCAAAUGGAGAUGACGAUUUUUGGGUAUAUUUUUCUAAUGCUUUUUUGAGUGUGAAUCACGAAUCUGAGGGAGUGAAUUAGUGUUUUGUUAGGCUUGACCUCAUACUUUUCUGAGUGCGAAAUGAAGAGAACAAAUUCCAUGGCUGACGUUGAAAUAGAGGUAGGUAGCUGAGAUUUUUUUCAAAGGUAACUAUUGAAUUCUUAUGUGAUGUACUUGUACUUGGUUUUUACUGAUGUCCCUUCAAUUGCUUGCUUGCACUGAGCAUUGCCAAUUGUUGUUUGAAUUUUCUAAGGCAUUCAACAUACUGAGAUUAUUAUUAUUUAUUCACUGAGGCACUCGCAUUUGGAAUGACCCUGCAUUUUUUUACUUUUCUUGCAUGUUACAAUUUGAUGCAUGUGCAACAGAGUACCAGAUUAUAUUCAUCAAGGUAGAUAACUUAAAGAGUUUAUUCUUGUUGUUCAUGAAAGCACAUACAUGUUGUGCAAAUGCACUUGAAGAUGGUUGGGAUGCCAGAUUCAUCACAAUUUGUUGAUGCUGCACAUGUUGGACACCAAGGUAUGGCUGCUGCACAUGGAGAGUGAUGUUCUAAGUUCCUUUUUUUUGUACACCCUUGUGAAACAACCUUUUUUCCAAAAAUAUCAAUCUUACAUGAACCGGUGUCAGCAGAUUAACUGGGACUGGUCCGCAGCUGUUUGGAGUUCUUUUGCCAUAGUUCCAUCCAGCACCUACAAAAUGAAGAGAAAACAUUGUUGCUGAGGUAUAUUUGACCAUCCACAAGAAAGGUUCAUUUUUUCUAUGCCUCUGUUUCUUUUUUCUUAGUUCACACUAUACAUUCUUGAUCUUCUGUAGUCACCGAACUAGAUGUUAACCAUGCUACUUUUUUCUCAUAUUUUUCUGUACACUAGGCAGGGUCAUGUAUAUGCUUGUAAUACAACCCCACUGUGGCAAAUCUUGAAAAAAGUUCAGUCUUUCUCCUUAGUGUCUUGUGCAGGGGAGAGGGCAGCACCCUACUGAUUUCUGUUUUAAUUACCAAGCCAUAUUCUGUCCUAAAACAUGAACCAAUCAAUCCAUAUACAACUUUUGUGGGGAGGAGUCCAACAUCAUUUUUUCAUGGACAUACAGUUAAAAAUAAAAUUAUUUUCUGCUGUCAGAAUUGCUACAACACACAUGCCAGUCAAAUACUACUUGAUUCAGUUUUGCCUCUUCUCUAAUUUUCCUACAAAUUAUAACUCUAACCUAUGUCCCAUCAGGAAUCUUCCUUACUGCUGCAGGAUUGCUGUUACAAACAUGAGAAGGGAGAAAAGAAAAUCAGAUCUAGAACAAAUCAGAGAAGAUAAGGUGGGGGGAAAGGUGGGAGGGGGUGAAAAUCAGAGAAGAGAUCAGACGCCCUUACACUAGUGAGUUUCUCCAUGCUUGUGGGCAUGGGGUUUUGCCUGGGUUCAGUCAAAAAAUACAGUUCAUAAAGCAGAGCAGGAAAUAAGUUUUUUUGUCUUUUUUCUAUGUCGUCCGGGCCCACAAGCAAACAAUGUCAUGACCCAGCCCAACAAACAAACAAACAAGAAAAGAGAAACCAGCCCAGGUGUUAAGCCGGUUCAACCCAGCAGAUGAAAAGCUACUUAACAUGCCUAAUCUACAUAUGAUGACGUCAGCCGACUGAGUCUCAGUCUCAGUCUGACUGAGACCUAGACAGUCCCUAGAUUUUAUUAGGAGCCAAAUUAAGGGCGGGCCUAUGUAUGUAGGAGUAUGUAGGAGUACUUAUUAUGCACGUCAACACGCGCACACCCAACCUAACUCGGUGCUGGACUUAGGCCGGCUCGGAUACAAGAUCCGACACUCGACCGAGACGCGCGCACGUACGCACGCACACAAACAAUAUACUCAAAAUUUGCACACAAAUUACACAAAACUUGCAUUAUUUUGUACCCUGAAAGAAUAACUGUAAACUAGUGCAACUUCUAGAAAAAUGAAUUCCAUACUAGACAAAAAAUUAUAAUUUUACACCAUUGAGGUCAAACUGCUGCUGCACGCACAAAUAUAAAGAAAAGCAACAGCCAGACAAUGUCAUUUUUUUUACCAGUAAAAAAAAGACAUACAAAAACAAAAAAAACAGGUUAUUAUGCGUACUAGCAUAUACAUCUGGACAGCGCGGGGACUUGUUGUGCGUCAAGACAUACUUUUUCAGCAAACUGAAGACAAACUAGGGGGGCUUUGCGAGCGUCCAGACCGCCGCCACGUCGAUGUCUGACCACCUUGGCCCACCAAAAAAAGACCACCUUCCUCUCCCUUGCUUUCCAUCGAACGCCCACACCGCUUGCCAUGCCAGAGCAUGCAGCGACCGGCAUUGAUGCCGUGAUUUGACAGGAUGGAAGGGCGGCGCUCACGGGCGUCGCCGCUUUAAUGAAUAGUAUCACCACCUUCUGAGCUAGUAAUGAUCUUCCUUCUGUUCCGACAUCAAAAAGUGGGAUAUGAUGUCGGUAAUGAUCUUUAUCUCAUCUUCUCAAGUGGAAUUUCUGAGCCUCCUUGCCACUUUUCUGGUUCUGUAUACACGGUUUACAUAAUGGAGGAAGCUCCAAGACAAAGCAGCCAGGUGCAGGGAGUCCUCCUAGGACUGAAUUAAGGGGGAUAAGCAACAGGAAGACCAACCAAAUCUACAAGAUACCAGCAAGUAUCUAACUGAAAAUUUAGUACCCGUAAAACCACAGAGACCCACCUCCGGAAGGAUGCAGAUAGUACUGCUACAUGACAGACGAUUGACAAUUUCAUACCGCAAACAGAAUGCAGUUAGGUAAAUGCUCCAGGAUGCCUAAAACUUUCACUGAGUGACUUGUCUAAUUAAUUCCUCUGCAAAUAAAAUUGGUGACAUUAGUAUCAAGACCAGUUGCCAGUUAAAUUAUGAGUAACCUAGAUAACGGAAACUACCUUUUUCUCUUCUCCAUGGAGACUUCAGUGAGAGCAGAAAGGAUUCUUGAUAUCUCCACAGUGUUGUCUGCGGUCUUUUCCAUUAUUUUUCUUGCAGUAUCUAGCAUUUUCCCAGCAAGAUCCACAUCAGAAACAUCUCCAGCGCCUGCCAUCUCAUUGUCACCCUUCCUAUCCUCCUGAUCUUCGCCAUUUGAGUUUUCCCCUGCUCAAUGAGUAUAUCAGUAUAAAGUUAAACCAUGGCAGGAAGAAAAGCACAUUGAUAGAAGAUCAAUUAUACUAGUGGUGGACUGUUUGUGAAACAAAAAACAGCAAUAGAAAACAAUGAGAUGCAUUCAUAUGCUUAAAUCAUCCAACUUAAUAACCAGUAUAACAUACCAUUGACCAAUACAGUGGUCCGUCUAAAUAAGUAUUCUGAUAGAAAUGUGAGACAAGAAAUACUCACAUUACAUUACUGCAUACUCAUGUACCAUAUAUAAUUGCAAAAAGGUGAAACUUCUAUGUUGUAUAAGUUAGCACACGCAAGUACACUGGUUAGACAGCUAAAUACAAGAACAAUGAAUGAAGCCAGUGAUUCAAGUAUCCAUAUCUGUUUAAUCUGGCAUUUCCAUUUGGCCAUUCAGGCACAAAAAUAAAAUAAAAAUAGCUGCCACAUGGCACCAUACACAAGUCCAAAAUAUGGACAGCCCAUAAACAAGCUCUUUUAGCAUUAAAAGUAUUUUCUGCUUUCUGUGAGAUCAUCAACUAUUUAUAGCAUAACCUUGACUUGCACCAUAUGUAACAACAAUGAGCAGAACAAUUUGACAAAAUGGCCUCCUACCAAACGAUGACAAUUCAAGAGAUAAGCCCAAACGGUAAACAGGUCCAGGUUCCAUACGAGACCAUUUAGUUUGCAAACACAUGGGUACAUUAUUGAUUAGCAAUUUAUUAUGUAAAAUAUUUAGCAGGAAAGAAAAGCUUGUGAUCAGGAGAUUGUAAUUAACUAUACAGAUACAAAGAGUAAUAUAUCUUAUAUGUGACUGUCUAGGGGUAAAGGCAUAAAGAUAUACAUUCUUCACUGUGAGCUUUGCUGAUUGUACCCUUCUUGGGAAGGUUUCCCAGAGGAUUAGUUGCCUUCUGAGCUUUCCAUAGCAAGGCACAUCCAUAUUUGUAAUACACACUAGCACAUUCCGGAGCAAGUUCACCAUAAUGUGCAACCCUAGGUGACAACAAAGGAGUAGAUUUGUUAUUGUUGAGGUUAUAAGAUACUUCCAUAGAACGGAAUGUAAUCUGAGAUAGAGUGGGAUAAUCAUAACUAAACACCCCGAUUGCUCCACUGGUCAUUCAGAUGACAGAAUGUACUAACUAGUACUCCCUCCGUUCACAAAUAUAAGAUGUUUUAGAUAUUUCAACAUGGACUACAUACGAACUGAAAUGAGUGAAAAUAAAACACUAAAAUGUGUUUAUCUACAUUCGAUUCAGAAAAAAGUUAGAACAUCUUAUAUUUAUGAACGGAGGGAGUAAUUAUUUUCACUGUUUAUUGCCUUUUAUAGCGUUGAUAAGUGCUUGCACAGAUUAUGGAGUAAAAUUUGUAAGAAAGCAUAUAGAUAAACCUCACUGCUAUGAAACAUUUGCAACUAGUCAGUACUCCAGAGACAUAGACAGAUUUACCGAAUAGGAUAACUCUUAUCUAAGCAAUUGCAUUUUGAAUUGAUGCUCUUUCGCAGUUCAGAAAUCAUAAAAAAUGAUAGCCAGCUCCAAAUUUCCAAAUAUUGCUAUCAAAUUAAAACUAGGCACUCACUACUCCCUAACACUCCAACAAACUCCAUCAAGGUAGCUGUUGACACAGUAAGCCUAAACGACCGCUUGGGAACAACCUUUCCACGUGUAUAACAUCUGAAACCUAUCAAGAUCAUCUCUCAAACUACAAAACAUAAGGACACACGUAAACAAUAACAAAUCCAUAACAGGAGUGAACUAACUGGAUGCUUUUCCCUACAAUCCUUCUCAUGCCUUCGGCGUGAUUGGGAGCAGAAUCCUAACCUGAUCGCCAGGACGCGGCUGAGGCAAUCAACAGCGGCAACAAAGUCCCCCUCCUUGAUGGCCAUGGACCCACUGUAAAACAGCGACUCUGCCUGCCUUAGUGCUUCCCACUCCCACUCCUCAUCAUCUGACUCACCAUUGAAGUCCGGAGAGCCCAGGCUGUCGUGCUCAACUUGAGGUACCCGGAGUAUAGAGUAGGAGCUGACAACUGGAACCAAAGGGUAGGCCCUGCAUCGGUCCUUGCACAUCUUCCUCCCCCGCUUGGACUGGAGCUCGAUUGAAAAGAAGCCAUCAACCGUGCUCACCAAAAUGGUAUUUGCUCCCUCGACAAAGCCCAUCAGAAACACUGUUAUUCUUGAGGACGACGACCUAGCAGCAAAUGGAAGCGAAUCGCCGAGGUACAUGAACGGGCACUCCACCCAUUCUGCAUCACCUCCUUCACUGACCUUCCUUGACCAGAGGUACAGAUGAUUCCACCCACCGUCAUCAGCUUUAGCAAUUCCCAGCCCACCAUCCUCCGCCUGAACCAGCAUAACUCUCUGCGAGAAUGCAGCAUCAUUGUCCGGUUCCGGUGGGUUGAUCACAUUGAGGACAUGCUCAGCCAAGUUGUACUCGAGGAUGUGCCCAUCAAGGUACAGGAAGUACAGCAGAGAAUUCCCCACGAGCAGGCCAGGAUUCUCACAGAGCAAGGAAAAGCCAUCGCGCCAGGGCAAGGCCAAGGCCACCUCACCCCAGGCGCCGGUCUCCGACGAGUAUACGGCCGCCGACGUGAGCCACUCCGUUUCCUCCUCGAAGGGGCUGGUGAACACCAAGACAACGCGGAAGGGCCCCCCGUGGCAGUUGAGAUGGUCGCACCCCUCCGCCGUACAGAGCACGGUGGCGUUGGAGUGCCCGAUCUUGAGUUCCGCGGGUACCGGCACGUUCCACCGGUUGCCCGUGAACGGCUCCCAGACGAGGAGCUCCCGGUCGGUAGUAUCGGAGACGAAUACGGCGCGGCCGUGCCGGUAGCCGAGGACGUGCCAGGCGCGGGGGUCGGGGACGGGGAAGGAGAAGGGGGAGGUGGGCACGUAUACGGGGAGAUUCUCAUCACCUUCCGAGUGCUGGAGGAACCCUAGCAUCUUGGGUGCCCGGCGGUGCGCGUGGAGGUGGCGGAGGAAGCUGGGGGCGGAGAUGAUGUCGCGCCAGUGCUUGCAGACGAGGCAGGCGCGGAGGAGGCAUGAGGGUUCGCUGGGAGGGAGGCGGGAGAAGAUUUCCUCGAGGAGGUGGUCUGGAAGCGCCGGCGGCGAGCGGCGGAGGCGUGGCAGCUCCAUGUUUCCAGACGAGCCGGGUGCCUGGGUUGGGAAGACGGAACAGGAGACCGAACUGGUGACUUGGUUCGGCUCAACCAGAAGCCAUUUCCUCUCUUCUUUUUUCUGAGAACGGUUAAGCCAUUUCCUAAUUCUACGAGAUUUUCUUGAGGGACUAAUUCUACGAGUAUUAUUGUAGAAGUACCCAUUUCCUUUCAUAAUUCUAGAACGGUCUAUGUCCAUAACUGUUGAGUCCAAUAUUUUUCUGUUUCGAGGAAUGCAUAUUUGAACAAUCUUAUUUAAAUUAUAAACCAGAUCAAGGAUGAAUAAUCGAUGGGUACAUCUUCGAGUACAACUGCAGAGGAAAAGCCUGCACACCAGGCCAGACGACACGGCCGCAGGGAAGUUCUUUGCUCCGUCUCUAGGGUGACAGAGCAAGGAACAGCUGAGUUCGUUCCUAGGGUGACCGUUUCGUAACUUGCGUUGGGCGAUCUGGGUCUCGCCUUGGCCCUUAUUGUCAUCCAUCGUCGCCGCAGUUUCCCACCUGCCGACGUCGAGUUCUCGGGCGCUUGCAUAGUCAUGUCGCCAAUAUCAGGAGAUGCUUGUUUCUUGUGCAAUUCCAUAGCCGAGUCAGGAAGCACUUGUUUGUGGAAUGCACGAAAGUCAAGCUCGUGUGAAGAGAGAUGAAGCUUGAGCAUAUUUGUACGAGACUUGCAAACUGUGAUAGCAAAGAGCAAAUGAUAGAUGUGAUAUGAUAGCAUAGAGCAAACGAUGAAUAAUAGUACAUAAAUUUAAUGUUUCAUAUGUAUGUGCUUUCUCUUAUUUUUCUUUUUGUCAGGUCAAAUGUAUUCAAGGUAGUUUUCCUAGUUUUUGUAGUUGAUUUUUGUUGGUAUUCGUUUUUAGAGUCGGUAAAGCAACUGACUCUUCACCCAACGCUGAGGGCACCAGCUCUCUAAAGAAACAUUGUAGACACCGGCCAACACCGUCUUUCCUAAGCAGACACAAAGAUACUAGCCAAAUAUGGUUUUUUUUCGAGCAAACUGUGAGAGGGUUUCCGUAAUACUAUCAAGAGAGUGAAAUAUGAAUAUUUUGCAAGAUAAAUACAAUGACACUAUGACACUAUUAUUACGAGCUAACCAUCGACUUCCAAAUAUUAGUAGGCAUAGCUUUCAAAAUGAUGAUGACAUGUAAACUUGUGUCUCUUGUAUUCUGGUAAGCAGAAGUAGCGGAAAGACAAACCAUUGCAUAUUAAAGCUACCUUGUAUAUGACAUCUACCCCUCGUGGUCCAUAUUUGUGAAGACAAUCUAGACCAUUGAGGCAAGAAGAAAGCUCACUUUGACGCGGCUCACGAAUCCAUAAGAAACUAUAUCGAGAGAGCUUCUCGUUGUGUUACAAGCUUGCUUUCACAUUAUUCAUGGAACACACUGUGUGGUCUUGCACAACAUGAUCAUAUAGAACGAAAGAGGUCUCUCUCAACUGAUGAACUUGGAUUUUGAGGCCUUUGAAGAACUUGUCACUCCUCAAAGCAAUAACAAUACAAUCCAUAGGUUCUUUUGAAGUGCAUUGGCAGCCCAUGUGCAACUAUACAAUCAAUACCUCAGCGAGCACCAAUGGCAGCCUUCUGGGGAAUAACUCUUUGAUCAUAAUUUGUUGUUUUUUAGACUACUUGUUUCAUUUGGUCUAUCUAUUGUGCUUGGUACGUAUUUUCUAAAAAAAUUAAAUAGAAGUAUUAAAUAGUAUUAAAUGUUUUCAUCGUUGACGGCAAACGUUUGAACUUUAAUGUCAAAAAAUAGUUUAAAAGGAGUUUAAGUUCGCAAAAGGAAAUGAGGAUCUACAACCAGUUAAUGAAGAAAAGUAGUUAAAUUUUAGGGAUCAAGUUAGAAUGCGAGCUUAUUCUUAAUGAGUGUAUCUAGACGUGUUUCAGUGUGUAGAUACACUCAUUUUAGCAACAGUUAAUAUCAGACGGAGGGAGUAGCAAAACAUUUUUAGGGAGUUAAGCCUCAAGGAAAAUUUUAAACUUCAAAACUCGCACCAGUCGUUCCAUAUACAGAGAGAUUAUAAGCGGGUGAGACCAUCGAAAUCCACUCCAUUCGUUUUCGUUUUGUUCUCCGAAUUAAUCCGAAGCAUUCUGUUCGCAUGAUAGCUCUGGCUUUGCAUCCUCAUGGUAAUCAUGUUAUGGAGAAGAGGCGGUCUAUGAGCACGUCGAACACACCGUCCCUGUCCAGCAUGUUGACCCUGACGCACCUGGCGUCUCCCCCGAACUGCUCCCCUCCCCGCGCCACGAUGCCGUGGCCGCGGAGGAACUCGGCGCAGUCCUCCACGCCAUCCUUCUCGCAGCGCAGCCACGCGAACGCUGCAUCCGAUUGCGAGCCGGGUGAGAAGAACUAAACAAACUGGAGUAAUGGCGGAAUUCGUGUUCAUGGAUUAAGAAUGUUCAGUAUAUGUUUAAUGUACAGUACCGGGGUAAGCUGCCACGGUUUGCCUGCUGAAGUUGCAGUGGCCGGCGGUCUCCUCCGGGAGGCUGAAGGCGCCGGUGGCCGCCACGGCGGCGCGCAGGGCCCGCCAGCGCUCCUCCAUGCGACGGCGCGCGAAGUCGAAGAGCCGGAGCCGCGUGUCGUCCUCCUCGUCGGGUCCGUAGGCGUCGGAGACGACGGCGAGGAUCUUGGCGCCGCGGAGCUGCGAGUCCUUGGACACGCCGAUGGUGCUCCGGUCCACGAAGUAGACCAUCUUCUUGGCCACGUCGCGGUCCUUGACGAGCGCCCACCCGAGCCUGGCGCCGGCGUGGCCAGUGACCUUGGACAUGGUGAAGAGCAUGAUGUCGUGGGCGGCGGCGCCGGUGAUGGGCGUGUACUGAGGUCAGUAGUAUACCAGGUCGUGGAUCGCCUUGCCGGACUCGGAGCUCAGGACGGCCUCGCGGAUGGCGCCGUCCGGGUUGUUGGGCGAGCAGACCAGCUCGAUGUGGCCGUCGCCGUCGAACGCGUUGGCGUCGCCGGCCCACCGGUAGAACCCCGAGAGCAGCAGGUCCGUCUGCGGCGGGUACGACUGGCACGCCACGACGUACGUCCAAGAUGACACCAUGUCAGGCAAUCACCCCACACCACACCACGAAUGUAAUUGAAUUUGCACUUGGAUCGUUUGAUCUUGAUUAAAUACCGAGUAGUAGGGCGCCGGCGAGACGACGCCGACGGGCCAUUGGGCGCCGGCGGGAGACAGGGCGUACAUGGCCGCCUGGAAGAGCUGGGUGGCGCCGGUGCCGACCACGAGGUGGUAGCCGUCGUCGACGGCGGCGUUGCCGACGAGGCGGUGGACGCGGCGGACCUCGCGCUCGAACUCCGGGUCGAGGAACCAGCAGAGGCUCUGGGCAUUGGAGAAGUAGCUCAUCCCCGACCACCCCGGGAUCGCCACCGCCGCCCGCUCCCCGACCUCCCUCCAGAACGCCUCGUACAUGGUCGGGUCGCCGCUGCACGCACGCAGAACCAAAACCGGCAGUGCGGCGAAGCACGUUGUCAGAUAGAGAACACCUUACCCAAUCGCGCACGAAAUACGUUACGGGAACACGCACAGCUCGAGGUUGAUGACGGCGUCCGGCGCGAUGGCCGGCUCAGGCGGCGGCGCCGACGUACCUCCGUCCAUUCCGGCCCUGGCAGCAGACACCUUGCUUCUCACGCCACGCGUCACCCUUAUCUUGGGCUGCGGGCGACCGUGGCCGGUGGUUUUAUGUCCGGCGGGGGCGGGGGCAGCGCAUGCGACAGCCGGCACGAGCAGGCAUGUCAUGCGUGCGAGCAGAGCACGCACACGCGCGGACGGCGGGAUGAGAAGAGGUGUUUUCUGUUGGCUGAUCCUCGGUGGGUGGCAGCAGACUUUGGAGCGAUGCCGCCAGCAGCUCACGCAGACAGACCAGCGGCCGGUAGCGAGGCGCCAAGCCAUGUGAGUGAGUGACUAGCACAGUGGCCUCGUUGCCUGCGAACUGCAACCGUAUAGGUGUGGUCCUGGUGAGCCGAGAGCUAAGCACUUCGGAUGAAAGUGCACGGCUCAUUGCCAGCGAUCUAACGAUUUGUCUCUGUCGCCAAAACUCCGUGACAAAUGUGAUCACACGUCGCCAGCCACACGAAGAGGUUAGAGAGGUCACCGUCGUAUAGAUGCGUGAAAGAUAAGGCAGCCAUGAGCUAGUUUCACAGGUCAUCAACAAUAGUACUUGACGACAAUAACACUUGCAGACACACUAGUCAAACUGACAAUGGAUAGCAAUCACUAGGGCACUAGUUAACAAAAGAGCUAACACUAACUGUACGGUAGCAGCAAACGAGAAACCUGACAAAUAAGAAAUCCCUCGUGAAUGCACGAAUUGGUUACAUAGGUGUUCGCUCAUCGAUCAUAUACACAUGCUGCUCCACGACUAGCAGCUGGGCUUUUAUCGCCCGAACCAGCCUCUCUGGGCAGGCUGCGCAUCACUGUCGUUCAUCAGCUUGUCGAGCACCACGUUCAGGUCCACAUUCUGACCGUUCUCUGUCAGCCUGCGCACAGUCGCCCUCACUUGCUCCUUUGAGAACCCCAUCGUUGAAACCUUGUCCACCACGUCGUCGACCGCCACCCUGUUGCCGGACGAGGCACUCGGAGCAGAGCUCACUGGCGCUGCUUGGGGCAGUAUUUGAGCUGUAGGGAGCUUGCCGUAGUUGCCACUUCCAGCCGAGGAGGGGCCAGUGGGGGCAAAGGGUGAAGGCGAGUUCAUUCCAGCAUUACCACGGUGAGACGGAGACCCGCUGUAUCCAUACUGCUCAGGAAAACCGCCUCCUCCCUGCUGCUUGUAUCCAGCGCUGUAGGGCGGUGGUGGACCAGAGUUAGGCCUGACUGCUGGAGGCUCGUACAUGCCAGGGUUUGGCCCAUAGAAAGGAGGAACAGGUCCACUGGGUGGUGGCAUGUAAGGGGACGGCGGGCGGACAUUCAGUGGGUAGCUCUGAGCAGGAGGCCCAUAAGGUGCUGCUUCUUCUGGCUGAUGGGGCAAGGGUGCGGCUGGAGUUUGGGGGUUAACACUUCCAGGCAGCGGAGGUUGAGAAUAUGGAGCAUACUGAGGCGGGUGCUGAUAAUGUUGUGGUGCUGCUGGAGGUGCUUGUGGCUGCGAAGCUGGUGGUGCUUGAUAUUGCUGGUGUGCAGCCUCUGUUGUCUGUGUGGAUGGGGGAUAGUAGGAUUCCUGCGAUAUGGUCGGCACAGAUGGAGCAGGUGCGACUGAUUGCAUUUGAGGAUGCGGUAAAUGACCUUGGAAUUGCGGCGGAGGUUGGUUGUUAACCAUUGGUGGAGGGGGCGCAUUUGGAGCAGGAAGGGCAGGCAGUACCGUUGGUUGGGAAGGAGGAUAGGCCUGAUGUUGUGGUUGAACAGUUGGCUGGGGCGCAGGCGGCUGCUGCCUUGAGUCCACCUGCCCAGCACUGGCAUUUUCUGACUUAACAUCCUCUGCUUUAGACACUUGAAGCUUCGUAAGUUGAACCUGGGCCUCAACAAUUUCCUGCUUGUCACGCAAAAUCUGCACACCUGCUUGAACCUGCGAGUAGUGCAUACAUAAUUAAUCUAGCUGCUGAAGAAACACUGGCGAUAGUACAAAAUAAAUUAAUACAAACAUGUGUCCAGGUAGCAAAUUAGUACGAUAAGCACCAAAAGAAAUCUUCCUACAAUGUCUCAGAAAAUCACAUCACAAUAUGAAGGUACGAAACAUUCUUCAUGAUUAACUACCAACACACUAGGUGAAGGCAUGUAAAAACACUAGAUGAAGAAGGCAGAAGAAAGACAUGAAGCGCACUAGCAUGCACAAGAUGCAACAGGGGCCACAAACAUAUUAAUAAUUCCACUUGUCACCAUGCCAUUGUGCCCUUGAAUGGAGCUGAAGGAAACUCAAAAGUGAAAACUAAUGAUGAAACUUAUGUAUUAUAGGCAAUUAUGAAAUAUAGUCCUUAAAUAGACAAAUAAACUGCAAACUAUCAACAAGAUGUGAGCUAGCUGGACAAAUGACCAGUAAUAAUAAAAUCCACUAUGACAUGAUGGGAGUAUAUAAUCAAUAGAUUUCAGAGCUGUACAUUCCUAUUUGUAUACAAAAUACAAAAUCAGCCAACAAGCUUCAGUCAAAAAAUAGGAUCAAAUAUUAAAUAAGACAAACAUCAUACAUUGAUGAGCUAAAGAAAAAACAAAGACUAUUGUUACUCAAUAAUAAACCAAGUUCUUUUCCAUCUUGAUUAUCCCAACCAGUAAGCAAGUUAUUGCGAUAAGGUAAGCAUGAUCCUUUCUCUACCAAUAAAAGAAAGAACAAGGAGAGGAGGGAAUCAAGGGAAGAUAUUCACUUGCAGAGAGGAGUUGGAAUAAAGCUUACCUCCCGCAGUGUGUUCUCAAAUUGCCUCAGUUUUCCAUCAGUGCUGCCGUUGUAGUUACCAACUGUUAACUUCAACUCGCCAACAGAGUCCUCAAGAUGGUGUGUUCUGCCCUCCAGCUGUGCAAGUCUGGAGCUUACACCUUCCAUUGCAUGUAGCAAGUUAUCAGCAUAUUUCUUCAUGGUGCGAUCAAUAUCUGCUAUAGUGACUGCAUUGAAGUUGCUCCUUUCUUCUUCAUGACUAACUUUCUUCAGCACACGAGGCUCCAUCAUAGCAGCACUCUUUGCAUGGUAAAAGAAAUUAAGCAUAUUAAUUACAUAUAUAUCACAAGGAAAGAGAAAAAAGUGAGGUGAUAUGAAGUGAUAACAAUCAUGCAUCACAACAACUAAAGAAUUUAAAAAACCUCUUGGAUUGGUUAUUAAUAUCACAUACAGCUACAGAAGUAUACGGUGAAUGGGUACAUAAGAUCCCUGUGUGCCUGUGUUAAUUCUUAUACUCAAUCAGUUGCCAAUUAUAUUGCACACCCUACCACUGUGCGCAUAAGAAAAAUGUUGAAAAACAUAGUAAUAACUUUGCAUGCACAAAUAUAACAUGGAACAUGCUGGAGCUGGACUGCCCACUAAGAUUGGUGGAAUAAUUAAGGACAUGGCCAAAUGGUCCAUCCCUGCAGUUCUGGAGAUAACUGUUUGCUGCUGCCUAACUAUCUCUCUAACCCAUGAUUAAAACUAUCACACACAUGCACACUUCUGUCAUAGUUACCAUAAAUGCAGCUCAUGGAAUUGCGCCAAAGGACAUGGAUUCAUGAUGUGCCACUACCAUUUUUCUUCCAAAGUGCACGGGGAACAUCUUAAGCACGCACGCAAAUGCAAAGUUGCGUAACUUGAUUAGGUGGCAGACCAUAUUUAGUUAGCUAUAUACACCCCCACUAAAGUGAUGCCGUAUUCGUUGAACAUCAGACGAUUUAGGUACAUCAAUAUGAGGCAUAUAAGACUAUGAGAAGGAGUAAGCAGCCGACCAUAAAGAGCAUCAAUCAGCAACAAGUUGCAAACGUAGAGCCAUUGCAAGAGCAGCAUCUGCAAUCAUCCUAAAAGUACGUACAAAAACCUAUGACAUACUGUCAUGGAUAUGCGUCAGCUUCCACAAGCACCGGAACCACAACUACUAGGGCUACUUUUCCCUUUUCUAUCUGAAUCAUAUAUAGUGCCAAAAGGGCAACCACAUCGAUUCGAUUUAUGGGCGCAACGGAAUUCUACAACCGAGCAGACCAGCACUAGCUAGCAAAUACUAGUGUCGACGAACAGAUCUAUGAACAGCAGUGCCGGACUGAAGGUGGCCAGGUAGUAUUACCUUAAGUUUGGGGGACGCGGCAUUGGCGUCGAGCGACCCCCAAGCGUUCGCCGCGGCCGGGGCAGGGGCCGCUGGGGCUACGGCGGCGGCGGGGGUGCGGAUGGGUUGGAAGUCGUAGCUGGGCACCAUCACCUCCUCCGUGGCACUGGCGCCGCGGCGCGCGUGGAGGUCGUGGCUCUCCACCACGUCGUCCUCUUGCGGGUUGGGGCCCAUCAGAUCGAACAGCUGGCCGCCGCCGCCGCUGCCACCGGAGGGAGGCGAGGAUGCCGCGCCCGCCGCCGCGAGCCCGAGGAUCUGCUUGUCCAUGAACUGCGACGCGUUCAUCGCGAUCGGGAUUUGGCCGGAGCUGGCUGGCUGGUGGCGGAAGGUGGGGAAGGGGAGGGGUAGGAGGCAAUCUAUCGAGGUCGGUGGGAUUUGUUUCCCGGAUGGAGAAGACUGCGACUCCUGCGAGUAAACGACGAAGUCCUGGUUGGGCCCGAGCAGGCGAGCCCCGCGUUCUCUUUUUGGUGGGCUGCAGUAUUACUAAGGUGGGCCGUAGUUCCGUUCUCGGCCCAGAUUAAUUGCGGGCGAGAAGGAAUCGGCAUAAGUGUGUGGAGGCCCGAAGCCUGGCCCAGCCUAACGGAGAGAGAUGGUGAAACGGCUCGACGCCGAGGAGCACGGUGGCCGGCGGUUUGGUGACGUCGGCCAACGACGGCGGGGAUCGUCGGAGCUGCGUCGCGCGCCUGCCAGCGCCACCGAUCCUCCUCCCGUCGCUCUGCUCGUCAUUCGCGACGGCUGCUACCUGUCGUCUCCUGAGGUCAUGAAGUCAUGAUCGCAGCAGCGGACUCGUAAUUCUCACGAGUAGUAUCAUUUCCAUAUGAAGUAAUUGUUUUUCACUUCUCUAUUUCUUUCUUCUCAUUUUGAUUUCAUGAGUACUUCAUAUUUUCCUCCGUAUUACGUUACUAAUCUUUUUUAGAACAUUUUUUGCAUUGUUUAUAACGUGGUAAGGCGAUCUAAGACGAGCACUAACCACUCUAUGCCUAAGCGACGCCUAAACACCUAAAGCGGCAUAAUUGCAAGCCACUGCCAGGCCGCCUUGCCGUCUAACCAUCCAACAUGGGACAACUUAUAAAUAAUGAUUUAAUGUAUAUUUUCAUUGUACCACUUCUCAUUGAUUUUUUGUAACAGUUAUCAUAAUCCUAUCACCUGGUGGUACCAGAUUGAUAUGUAAGGAUGGCUAGUACCAAGGCCUAUGUUUCAUUGUACCACUUCUCAUUGAUUUUUUUUAACGGUUACCAUGAUCCUGUCACCGGAUGGUACCAGAUUGAUAUGUAAGGAUGGCUAGUAACAAGGCAUAUGUUUCUUUCCCCCUCCUUCAACCAAGUCAAACGAGAGCAGUUUGGCAGGCUCGAAGGAAUUAUAUUCAACGACUGAAGAAAGACGAUGGAGUUUGGUGUUCUAUCCCCUCUGAUAUGGACGUGUGGCCGCCUCCUAUUUAAGGAGGUACUAUAUACAAAGGACCCUACACUAUAACCUGCGGUGGUUCUGGACUACAUUAUACCCAAGGUAACUGAUGAUAUAAAUAGUAAACUUGAGGCCUUUUUCUGAGAAUGAAAUUUUUGAUGCUCUAUUCCAGAUAGAGCCGUUGAAAGCACAGGGCCCUGAUGGGUUCUCGACGCGGUUUUUUCAGCGGGACUGGCUAGUCCUAAAAGAGGAUGUUAUUCCUGUUGUGCAUUAUUUUUUUUGAAACAGGGUCUAUGCCGUCAAGUGUAAAUGACACGGCGAUUGUGUUGAUCCAGAAGGUGCCACACCCAGCUUGCUUGAAGGACUUUCAACCAAUCAGCCCGUGUAAUGUGAUCUACAAGGUGGCAUCAAAGUGUUUGGUUAAUAAGCUCCUGCCUUUUUUGGGUGACCUCAUUUCUGAAAAUCAAUGUGCAUUCAUUCCAAGGCGACUUAUUUCUAAUAAUUCAGUAUUAGCCUUCGAGUGCAUUAAUUAUAUCAGGAAGGUGCUCCGGAUUUCUGUGAUUAUAAGUUGGAUCUUUCCAGCUUAUGACCGUGUUGAUUGGGACUUUUGGAGAAGGCCCUCCUUAAGUGGGGUUUCUCUCAACUUUGGGUUUCUCAUGUAAUGGCUUGCGUCCACUCUAUUAAGUUCAAUGGGAAGCUGUUGAAAUCUUUUUCUCCAUCCAGAGGCCUCAGGCAAGAUGAUCCAUUAUCCCCGUUUCUAUUCUUAUUUGUUGUUGCUGCCUUGUCUGCUUUGGUUAAUAAGGCAAUAGUGCAGGAGGGUUUAGUACCUGUAAAAAUUUGCCGGAGGGCACCACCUAUACCCCAUCUGCUAUUUGCGGAUGAUUCAUUUCUGUUCUUUCGAGUUUCCACUCAGCAGGCUUCAGUGGUGAAAGGUUUCUUGAACAUUUAUGCAACAUCGACGGGGCAAGUUAUUAACCCUUCAAAGUGUUCAAUUCUUUUCUUUGAAAAAUGUCCAACCGUUGUUAUUAAUGAAGUGAAGUCUAUCUUGCACUACUAGGAAAAGGGCUAUAAAUAAGAUUGAUACUAAUGGCGCACCAGGGAAGUAGUGCACCACUACUAUAUACUAAUGGCGCACCUGUUGGUGAUGCGCCAUUAGUGUGGAAGACACUAAUGGCGCACCAGAAACAGGGUGCGCCACUAGUAUUAAUUUUUUUCCAUUUUUCCAUACAUACUAACGGCGUAUCAGGUCGACAAUGCGCCAUUACUAGUUCUAACUAGUAAUGGCGCACCAGGCAGAGAGUGCGCCAUUACUGUAAUUUUUUCUUAUUCUUUUUUUGCAAAACUACUAAUGGUGCACCGUUUCACAGUGCGCCAUUACUAGUUUACUAGUUUAAACUAGUAAUGGCGCACUAUUACACGGUGCGCCAUUAGUGUAUAUAUUUAUAUUUUUUACUUUUUUGCAAAACUUCUAAUGGCGCAUCACCUGCAGGUGCGCCAUUAGUAACCAGGGUUACUAAUGGCGCAUUUCCUUAUGGUGCGCCAUUAGUAACCUGGGACCCCAACAAGAUAUUUUGGACAUCCCCACACAUACCCACUCAUUUUCCCCACUUCAUUCUCUCCACCUCCUUCUCCAAGCUUUCGGCUGCAUCCUCCUCCUCACCUCAUUUCCACCAUAGAUUCAUCAAAAUUAAGUGGUGAAAUUACCUUUUUUGAUAGGUAAGUAAGGGGAAAGCUAUCUUCAUGAUGUAGAUCUACCUUUUUUCUCCCUACCUCGUUCCAACAACGUGCACAUGCACUUUUUGUGGCCUAACUAGAUCUAUGUAUGUUUGUGGUGUUGCAUGUGUUUGUGGUGUUGCAUAUAUGUUUGUGUUUGAAGGUACCGGUAUUUGAAAUGUGAUAGUUGCCAAUAUUUUGCCGGAAUGUUUUGAUUCAUUUCCGUUUCGGCGAAAAUUUUGGCACUAUGCAUUCUUUUUGGUCCUAUUUUUAGGGAAGGUCAUGCCAAAUUUUUUCUUGGUUCUAAAAUAUCGUUUUGCUCUACCCCGCAGGCGACCAUGGUCCGCACGAUGACUGAAGGCAUCGUGAAUAGGUUUUUGAGCUCCGCGAAGGCCGAGAUGCUUCAAAAGAACGAGACGGAGAUAAGAUGUCCGUGUCGAAGAUGCAAGCUGAAGAGCCUUAUUGCGGACCCGGAUUCCAGGCAGGUGCGGGACCACCUGCUCUUGCGUGGUUUCAUGGAUGGCUAUCGGUGGCAAGGUGAUGAAGAUGACUAUGAAGUCGUCCAUGGCCGGGGCCGGGCAAGAAAUGAGGAAGGGCAACAAGACAAGUACCACCGUGGCGAGGGCGGGCGAGAAGACGAAGAAUCUCCAGGACAUGAUCACGACGGUGAUGCUGUACACAGUCAUCAUGUAGAAGAUGUCGUACAUGAUGAUGAGGAAGAUCAAGACGAAGGGCAUGAUCAUGAAGAUGAAGAUGCCGGAGCAGACGACGAUGGAGGCUGGGUGCAGGACCCUCAUAUUCAAGAGCUGCUUCUCAAGCAGACGGAUAACGCAAGAGCUGCUGCCCGAGAGAAAGCCAAGCUGGAUCAACUGGAGAUAGACGCGGUUACUCCAUUGUAUGAAGGAUGCAGGCCCGAGGAUACCCGCCUGAAAGUAACGCUCAUGGCUCUGGAGAUGAAGGUAAAACACAAAAUGACCGACGCAUGCUUCGACGAGAACAUGUCAUUCUGGCACAAACGUCUUCCCAAGGGGAACAAGUGCCCGACCAGUUUCGAGGAGGCGAAGAAAAUCGUGUGUCCUCUGGAUUUAACGCACGUGAAAUACCAUGUGUGCAUGAACAAUUGUAUCAUUUAUCGGGACGAGCACGCGGAGUCUACCAUAUGUUCGGUGUGCGGCGUCACUCGAUACAAGAAGAGGAAGAAAGCUCCUCGAAAAUCGGUGUGGUACUUUCUGAUCACUCCUCGUCUGCAACGGUAUUUCUCGGACCCUAAGGUAGCAAAGCUCCUGCGUUGGCACGCGGAUAGAGAGGAGAAGAAGCGGGAAGAUGACGGAAAUGAUCCGGAGAUAAAUAAAAAAGACAAGAUGCUGAGUCACCCUAAGGAUGCGAGCCAGUGGCAAGCGUUGAACUUCGAAUACCUAGAAUUUGGGAAGGAUCCAAGGAACAUCGUGCUGGGUGCGAGCACCGAUGGAGUCAAUCCGUUUGGUAGCCAGAGAAGCACACAUAGCACCUGGCCUGUGUUUGUGUGGAUGUACAACCUUCCCCCCUGGUUGUGGAUGAAGAGGAAGUACAUUCACAUGAGUAUGCUAAUUGAAGGGCCGAAACAACCAGGGAACGACAUCAAUCUGUAUCUGGGGCUGUUGAAGGAGGAGCUAGACACGCUGUGGAAAACGCCAGCCAAUAUGUGGGACGCCGCAGAGAAAGAAUAUUUCCCUAUGAGAGCCGCACUGCUCACGACGGUGCAUGACUAUCUCGGUUACGGAUAUCUCGUGGGGCAGGUAGUCCAUGGAUUUUCUGGAUGCGUAAGGUGCAUGGAUGACACAACGUAUCGCCAGCUAGAUAGAGAUCCCGGGUUUUCGAAAACCGUGUUCAUGGGACAUCGAAGGUGGCUUCGCGACGAUGACCCAUGGAGGAAACGCAAGGAUCUGUUCGAUGGUGAAACCGAACCCCGAAAACGCCCGUGUACGAGGAGCGGCGAGGAAAUAGACGAGCUGUUGAAAAAUUGGAAAGACUGCCCACUGCCGAGAAAGAAGCAAAAGGCACCAGAGCCGGGAAAGAAGCGAAAGGCGCCAGAGCCGCUGCUGAAGGUAUGGAAAACGAGGUCUAUUUUCUGGAACUUGUCGUACUGGAAGAUCCACCGUGUGCCUCACAGCCUGAUGUUAUGCAUAUCAUGAAGAAAGUGUGCGGGAGUCUGCUUGGUACCCUGCUCAACAUGCCAGAGAGGACCAAAGAUGGGCCGAAAGCAAGGGCAGACUUGAAAUCAAUGGGCAUCAGGAAGGAGCUUCACGCUAAUGAUGAUGAUGAUGAUGAUGAUGAUAAGGCGAAGCAGGACACAGAAAGUCGUCGCAAAGGAAAAAAGGCCAAGAAGACCGGAAAUGACUACCCUCCCGCGUGCUUCACUCUAAGUCAGGAGGAGAUCGAGCAGUUUUUCACCUGCCUCCUAGGAGUAAAACUUCCUUACGGUUACGCGGGGAAGAUAAGCAGAUACCUAGGCCCAGCAAAGCAGAAGUUCAGCGGGAUGAAGUCUCACGACUGUCACGUGCUGAUGACGCAGAUACUUCCAGUUGCAAUCCGUGGGAUCAUGGACGCGCACGUCCGUGAAACGCUAUUUGGCCUAUGCAACUUUUUCGACGUCAUCUCUCGGAAGUCGAUUGGCGUGAGGCAACUCAGAAGGCUACAGGAAGAGAUCGUGGUGAUACUAUGCGAGCUUGAGAUGUACUUCCCGCCCACAUUCUUCGAUGUUAUGGUGCAUCUGCUGGUCCAUAUCAUGGAGGAUAUCAUCCAACUCGGGCCGAUGUUCCUGCACAGCAUGAUGCCGUUCGAAAGGAUGAAUGGUGUCAUCAAAGGAUACGUUCGCAACAUGUCAUGUCCAGAGGGAAGUAUAGCCAGGGGCUUUCUGACCGAAGAGUGCAUCUCCUACUGCACGAAUUAUCUAGGCAUCGAGAACCCCGUUGGUCUGCCCAUCAACAGGCACCUCGGCAGGCUCGCUGGAUGGGGUCACCGUGAGGGUCGCCGCGAAAUGCAUGUCGACUUCGAGGGUCGACUCGCCAACUUUGAAAGAGCAAACCUAGUCGCUCUACAACACAUAGACGUGGUCGAUCCUUGGGUGGUAGAGCACAAAACCUUUAUUGAGAAGACGUACAAUGACCGAGGCCAACAGAGGACGGACGGAGAUAUACUCAAAGAGCACAACUCAUGUUUCAGGCGUUGGUUCAAGCAGAAGUUUCUGUCAUACCCUUUACAUGAGGAUUCUUCCGUGGAAGAACAACUCAUAUUCGCCUUGUCAGAGGGCGCCGAGCACAACCUGAUGACCUAUGAGGCGUACGAUAUCAACGGCUACACAUUCUACACCGAGGACAAGGACAUGAAGAGCGAUGGUUAUCAGAACUCCGGGGUAACGAUGGAAUCCUACACCGGCAACGACAAGGACAGAUACUACGGAAGGAUCGAGGAGAUCUGGGAGCUGAGCUACGCUGGAGAGAAGGUCCCGAUGUUCCGUGUCAGAUGGGCCAAGAGCGUCCUAAAAAAAGACCGGUAUUUCACCACCAUGGUUAUACCCAAAGCCAAAUCCAAGACCGCGGGCGCAAACGUCACCACGAAAAAUAAGCCAUGGGUACUGGCUUCCCAAGAGGACCAAUGCUUCUUCAUUACCGACUGUCAAAGCCCAGUCAUGUUGUCGUAAGGAGAGGCAAAAGGAAGACCAUCGGAAUGGAUGGAGUAGCCAAUGAGCAAGACUUCGACAAGUACGGCGACCCGAAGAUCGAACAUGACGACGACGAUGAAGUAGCAGCACACACCACAAGAAGAAGCAGGACCACCCUACCUAAAGGACGUCCGUUCCACAGAAGAACUCCAUUUGCAAAAAAGAAGGGCAAGAAGAUUGUGAACAGAUAGCUAGCUAAGAUCGAUUGUAUUUAAAUCGUAGUCUUCAUUUCUCGAUUGUAUUUCAUGGGCACUUUUUGAUAUCAUGAAUAUUUUUAAAUUUCAUGGGCACUUUUUGAAUUCAUGAGGACACUUGAUCUCGAUCCCCCUCUAUCUCGAUCUCGAUUCCCCCUCCAUCUCGAUCUUGAUCCCACCCGUACCCUCCCCCGCUAGCUAGAUCCACCGCCGCCGACGACCCACCGCAACCCUCCCCCGCUCCACCGCUGCCGACGAGCACCCGGCCCCCCGCACCCCUGGGGGGGUUAUUACUGUUUUUAUAAAAAAAAUAUUACUGUUAUGAUUUAAACAAGUUUGAACAUAUUUAAACACAAAUAAAUAUCAAACAGGAUUUAAAAUGCAUAAAAAAUAUUGGGGAGCCUGGGAAUCGAACCCAGGACCUCUUGGUGUGUGUGCUGCGUAUUGACCAAUCGGGCUAGUGGGCGGGGUCUGUUGUAGAUAGGGUUAGGUUGUAUAUAACCUGACAAGUCACGCUAGAUUAAAUUACUUAUGGCGCACCCCUCGGUGGUGCGCCAUUGCUAUGGAUGUACUUAUGGCGCAUCCCUGGGUGGUGCGCCAUUGCUAAGCCUCCCCCCACACUAAAAUCCCCAAUCUCCAUUUCUCUCUAAUCCCUCCCCUGCCUCGUCUCACCCGCGCCUGACCACCACCUCCCACCACUUCCCCCGUGCUCGCCGUCCCCGACCGUGCUCGCUUCCCCCGCCGCACCCGACCACCUCCCUCACCGUCCCCCCUCCACCCGCGCCCGCNNNNNNNNNNNNNNNNNNNNNNNNNNNNNNNNNNNNNNNNNNNNNNNNNNNNNNNNNNNNNNNNNNNNNNNNNNNNNNNNNNNNNNNNNNNNNNNNNNNNNNNNNNNNNNNNNNNNNNNNNNNNNNNNNNNNNNNNNNNNNNNNNNNNNNNNNNNNNNNNNNNNNNNNNNNNNNNNNNNNNNNNNNNNNNNNNNNNNNNNNNNNNNNNNNNNNNNNNNNNNNNNNNNNNNNNNNNNNNNNNNNNNNNNNNNNNNNNNNNNNNNNNNNNNNNNNNNNNNNNNNNNNNNNNNNNNNNNNNNNNNNNNNNNNNNNNNNNNNGGCCCGCCGCCGCGGCGCGCCCAGCCGGCCGAACCCUUCGUUGCCCCGCCUCCGGUACAGGACCCCAGCAGCGCCUCCCCCCAUCAAGCAGCCGCUUCCACCAGCGGCGCCCCCCUCCCUAGAGCAGGCGCUCCUGCCCAGCAACGCUGCCGCCCGGAGCUACGCCGGCGACCAGUCCGUAGGCAGGUAGCCACCACUCCUUCAUCCUUCCUCCCUCUUCCCUCAUCCCCCUCCCUCCUUCCUCUUGCAUCCUCUGUUCAAUUUUUUGCUUGCUGCAUGAUUUUUCCAGAGCAUGCUCAAGUUUACAUGUGAAAUGAUUGUGCUUGAUAGGUGUUUGUGAUAAUGCCUCUAAGGGAGGGGGGCAUCGCGUCAUUAGUCUCUGUAUCAGAGUCUUUUUUCCUAGCCGUGUUGUCACCGAAAAAUGCAAUAAAUUCUCAUGGUUCGAAACCUUUGAUACUUGGCUUCUCCAAAUGAGAAAUUUAUGCAUGUAAUAAUUGGUUUACCUUAGUUUGCAGAAAUAUGAAAUUAAGCCUUACUUAGUAACAAUGUUUCAAGAAGAUCAAUUUGGAAGCUCUGCUUCACAGGAUGCCUUCAGACACUUGCACAUAUCUUUCUAACUCAUGCAUUAUUUCAUCUAUUAGACACUUCAAAGUGAUGGCUAUUUCCUUUACCUUAGAGGAAAAACAAAAUAAUAUCUUCUACUUUGCCUAGAGGAAAUAUAAUUUCAUGGACUACUUGUUAUAUCAAAUUUUUAGCUAAGUUUUGUCUCCCUGCGAAAAUUGGGCAAAUUCCUUCUCAAAAUCACAUGUUUUAACUAGGAAGAACCUGAGACACUAUGGCAUCAACACUUGUAAGAAAAGAAAUAGUAGGAGAAUGAAGAUUAUAUUAAAAAUGGUAUUAGUAGUGGUAAACAAGCAUAUAAUCCCUCCCAGGUAGUAACAAUAACUUUAUGCAGGAGAGUGAAAGAAGAAGCAUAGGCGAUCAGGUUCGAUCACGGUUGGAGAAAAAUUGAGGUGUUUGUUGGCUCCAAGACAGUGAUACAGGUAUAUACAUGUGCUCUGCUUACUUGAUCAUACAGAAGAUUUUCAUAUAAGAGUUACGUUUCAAGUUGCUGAACCUUUUCAUAUAAGUUUGCUUCCAAGGAGUUGUUCUCUGUCUGGUCCAAUUCUGAAGAAAUAAAAAGUGAAUAGUUUGUUUGCUCCCUGUGUGGUCACUCUAUUUUUUGAGUACUGACAUUAGUUAUGUUUGUUAGCAGCAAGAUAUUUAAAUGAAGCUUGUUCUUUUUCAACUGUUCAACUGAUGCCAUGAAACUGAAUAUAGUAGUUGAAAACCCUGUUUUCUUCCUGAUCAUGAAAAUUUGAAGUCCUGUUUGUGUUUUGGUUUUGUUGGUUGACAAUUAUGUUUAGUUUUUUAUUUCAUGGGUGCUGUAAAAUGUGCAGGUGGUGAGUUGAGGCUCAUCAUACAGCUUGUUUGGACUAACCAAGAGGACGAGGUAUGUUGCUUGCCCAAGCUAAGUGACACGUACACGCCAAGUUUUCUGUUAUAUAAUUACCUGUUAGUGCUUAGUUAAACUGCAUGAUACGGCCAUAGCAGAUGGAUGGUACUAGGUGUUGUUUUGUUUCUUGCCAAUGUAUUCAGAGAGAAGAUGUGCCACUGCAGAUUUCUUUUCUUGAAGGCAGCUCACAUAAGUUGAGCUACAAGUGAACAACUUGCUGCUAUUAGAUCUGGAAUGGAAGCUCACAUAAGUUGAGCUGAUUUUUGUCCAUAUGAAAGCAGAGGACCAUAUGGUCUGUGGCCUUUUCAUCCAUAUGAAAGUAGAGGCACAUUGUGGUGCUAGUUUGCUGGGUUUUGUCUCCGACCAUCGUGUCGUGAUGAAUUUGCAGGUACCCCGAGAGGCCCUUGAGUUUGCCGGAAUGUCGAUUAACUUCCGUUCUGGCAAAUUCGGGUACUCCAUAUGUCCUAUUUUCAGCAAAGGUCAUGCUAAAAUUUUCUGUGAAUUUUAGCAUGACUUUGUUAAAAAUAGGACAUAUGGGGUACUUGCGAUAAUGCAUGGGCCGGGGUAUCUUAGUACUUAAUUAAGUAGGAUCAACUGCCCCUUUAUUCUUCCUACAUUAAACCAUAGGUGGUAAUAGAGCCAAGUGAUUAGGCCCAACUUAGAAUUCUCCUUAGCAUCGAUAAACCCUAGAUGAUAAACCCAACAUAGGUGGCAAUAGAGCCAAGUGAUUAGUGCCUAGUGAUUAGGCUCAACCUAGGGUGCCUCGGCAUCGAUAAACCCUAAAUGAUGAAAACUUAACUUGGCUGCCCCGGAUGCCUCGGUGUCGAUGAGAACCUAAAUGAUGUACGCUUAGGCUUUUAGGGUGCCUCGGCGUUGACAAACGCUAAAUGAUGAAAGCUUAGGCUUUUAGGGUGCCUCGGUGUCGACAAACCCUAAAUGAUGAGACCAUGAUCAUGUUCCGUGACAAUAACCAACUUUUUGACAAAACUUUUUUCCUAUUUAGAGCGAAACAUGGCCCACAACGAUGAGGCCGGUGGUUCGGGCGGCAAGCAAUUCUGGGAGCUGUCCCGGUAGAUGGAGGAACAACCUCACCGCUAUGAGGAUGCCGCGGAAGACAUCGAUCCUGAUUACACAACCCCUAGUGGCGUCGGGGAUGACACCACUGAUGGUGCCGCCGAGGAUGCCACCACUGAUGAUGGCGGCGCACACACAGAUGGCAGCCAACCGAAGAAGCAAAGGAAGGACCGGCGCCCGAAUGCGCCCCGCACCCUCAAGGAGGAAUUCACUCAAGUGGACUCCGACGGGAAUCCAACGGAGCCCAAACAUAUAGUCAAGAGGUACUCGCUUUAGCUCAGGUGCAUUCUCCGGAGCACCGUCUCGAUCAACACCGAGAACCUUAGGCAUAAGGACCGAGGAAAUUUGCGCAACCUCCUCUUCACGAAGUUGCACGAACGAUACAAGUUCCCCGCCGAAUUUGAAAACACACGCCUCUCAGGGAAUAAAGUGAACAGUGCCGCCCUCACGAAGAUGAGCACGGCCCUGUCUACUUGGAAAAGCGCGGUGAAGAGAAUGAUUGAUAAAGGUGAUAGUUAUGAGAAUAUCAAGGCGAAAUAUCCUUUGAUGAGCGAAGAUGAGUACAAGGAGUUCAAGAUCACGUGCGAGAGCAGUGCAACCUCUGAAUCAAGUCAGUGGGGGAAAGAAAUGCGGGAGUUGAACUUAGGGGAACACAAACUCGGUCCCGGCGGUUACAGAGUGGCGGAGCCUAUAUGGGACAAGGAGGACACGAAGCGUGCCGAGCAAGGCCUACCGCCCCGCUUCGAGAAAUACAGCGGUGACAAGCAGACCAAGAACUAUGUCAGGGCCCGGUACAAGGAGGACCCGAUAACAAAGGAGCUUACCACGGAUCCGAAGACCAGGGCGCUUGAGCUUCUUCUGGUAAGGAAUACACCCCCGCGUAAUUAGCUCCAUAUGGUUGCACUCUAAUUAAUCCCCAAUAUUUCUAAAUGGUUCACGUUCCUUUCGCAGGACACUGAAAGCAGUAACGCGGGGUCGUCUAAGAGCUUCCCUUUUGACACCCCUUUAAAUAGGGCGUUGAACGUAAUGAAAAACAAGGAUAAGCUCACUAAGCCGACAUCAGCUGGUCGUGUGGCCGGCAAAGGCUUGUCCACAAAAUGGGGGUCAUACUAUACCGCUGGUGUGCGGAAGGAGAAAAAGACCAGCUCGGAAAGCCAGACGCGCGAGGUUGAAGAACUCAAGGCACAAGUGGCGCGGAUUCCGGAGCUUGUCCAAGAGCAAGUGCAACAACAACUUGGAACGACGCUCAACGCCAUGGUGCCUACGUUGGUUCAUGGGCUGACGACGUGGAUUGCGGGCGGCCAACAGGGGCCUCCCCCGGUUCCCAGCUUCACGGCCAGCAACUCGCACAGCACGCAGGCGGCGCCAUUGGUGUCUCCGGCGGCGGCGCCAUUGGUGUCUCCGGCGGAGGCGGUAUUCGUGUCUCCAGCGCCGGCACAGGCAUUGGAGCUUAAUGCACCUGGGUGUACGCCGGCCGGCACCUCGCCAGCAAGCGCCCCCUCCGUCAGUUGCAUGCCCGCCGUUGGCGGUGCCUCGACAUUAGCCGAGCUCGACGGCAUCACGGUAACCAAGCCUCUCGGCCGAUGACUUCAUCUCCUUGCCUUUGACUGGGCAUCCCUGACGCCCUGUACAUGUUUUCGCAGGGCACCGCUGACGUUCCUUGCACUCUUCUGCACUUCGUGGGCAUCGAGUUGGUCGAUGUCGCCAAGGGCAGAAUCGUUCAACCGGGCAACCCCAUGUUCCACGGUAAUCCGAUGCCACCCACAAUGUAUAGGGUUGAAGUGGUUCGGGUGCUGCCAGGCUGCGACGAGCUGUUACCUCCGAUUCGACCCGCUGGGGCCGACGAAGAAGAUGAGAUGACCCUCAGCACCUGCGUAAACUGGCCCCUGCUUUGGCCGAAGAGCCAGAUUCGUUUGGGGGCCGGGCACACCACCCCACAGACAAGACCGCCAAUCGUGCCGGCGCCAAGCCAUGGCAAGAAUGCCGCAACACUACCGGACCUGCCGGACAUCCCUAUGGCACAGGAUCCGGACAGCCCUAUGGCACAGGAUCCGGACGGCGACGACAACGAUGACGGUACAUUUAUCAAAGUUGAUAAGUACUUUGCCGAACAUGGGUACGCUGACGAGUUCUGCGGGCCUCUUUCUCAAGAACCCAACCAAGACGACCGCGAUCUAGCUGGUACGGCGGAGAAAUCCAAUUGCAAUAGGCGUCGUCUGGCAUUCAGUUCUCAGGACACGCCUCCAGCUCCCGCCUUCACCGAGCCUCAGAUAGCUGAGGUGCGAAAUACUAUCAGCCCCAACACGCUCAAGAAGGCGGUCUGUGAGCAGAACUCGAUCCCAUUACAGGAGAUCAAGAAGAAGGGAUGGAAACGAAAGACUAACAAGGGCGCCGGUGCGAGCCAGCCGGCACCGAGUUUGAUCCGUGCUCAGGACGGGCCACCUUCACCUAAGGAUAUCUCGAGGAGGGUGCAUGUGGCGGGUAGGGCGAUGCUACCGCCAAAUAUGCUGAAUGCUGCAACCGGUGCUAUGCGGAGUCUGCACGACAGUGUUCUUUCUUUGGAGAAGCGGCGUCUCAGAGAGAAGGAUGUGGCAUACCCGGUUUUCGUGGCCAAGGUGCCAGAGGGCAAGGGCUUUGUGGAUGGCGACAUCGGGGGUACGAUCGUCCUGCGGUUUGAUGACAUCUUUGCUAUGUUUAACCUUCAUCCGCUGCACUACACCUUCGUUCGGCUGUUUUUGCUGAGUAUGGAGAUGCGGAUCAUUAGAGACAAGACCCCGGACAUCGUGAUAGUCGACCCCUUCUACAUGCGUGCCAAGCACUUGAGCAGCGCUGGGGAUCGCCAAGUUGCGAGUUCACACCUCGAAGGCGUCAUUCUGGCAAACCCAGAUAAGGAUAACUUCCUUGUGGCUUACUUUCUCAAGUAAGUCAUCCCUUAACCACCCCGUAACAUAUGAUUUCUUAGAUUUCGUUCGUUCUUUUUUUUUCUAACAUUCCGUGUUCUGUGCAGUGACACACAUUGCACACUCAUCCUCUUAAGCCCGAAAUAUUCCAUGGCCACGUAUUUAGACCCGAACCGUAACUCCAAGAAAGACUACACAAAUGUCAAGAAAGUUCUUGAUGAUGUUCUCCCCGCCUACGCCAAAUCUGGAGGCACCUUCACCAGGGCAGUUCGUAAGUACGGCAAGCACAUGUUCUCACAAAUACGAAGUUCUGCUGUGUCAAGCAGCCGCCUGGCGGUCAGAAGGAUGCCUACUACGCCCUCCAUCACAUGCGGGCGAUCGUAAGGGACCAUCAUCAACUUCUGCUACCGGAUAAUCUCAAAGAUUGGGCCGCGAGCUUGUCGGCAGUCCAGGACGCGGACCUCAGACAAGAAUUCUUGCGCAUCCAGUCAGAGUUUGCGGACAUCAUCCAUCAAGAUGUCCUUCAUACCUCGGGGCAGUUCUUCCUCAGAUAUCAACCGUCCAACAGUGAGAUAGAUGAAAUGCUACAAAUGCAGGGUGACAACGACCGCGAUUUCAUGACCAUCACGACAGACGGCGGCUUCAUCCACGUUCCUGUCCGAUGAGUCGAGUCGAAAGUAGUGAUGUGUAGUUCUGAAACAUUGAUUGGCUCAUGUUGUAAUUAUACUUUAAUGAAUUCGUAUGUCUCUUUGGUUUGGACAGUCGUUCAACUUAGAUGUAAUCGAUGCUAUUUAUUAGUAGGACCAUGAAUCGUGCUAUUAAUGUCUUGCUUUUCUCUUCCGACCCUUUUGUUGCAUACUUACAUAUUGCUUAUGUAUUGUCUGUUGUUUGGCUUGUGCAUAGAGAUGCCGUCAUAUGUCGUGUACAAGGGUAAGGUUCCCAGAGUCUACGACGACUGGGAGGAGUUUCGGAGACAGGUUCACCGUUUCAGCGGUAAUAGUUACAAAGGGUACAUCACUAGGGCGGAGGCCGAAUCUAGAUACGCCCGCUAUCUAGCGGGAGAGAGGAGGGAGCGUUGGAGGAACCGGAUGAAGACCAGUUUGAUCGCGAUGAUGCUCAUCGUGAUGACCACAGCUCUCUUCUAUGUGAUGGUAGUUUAGAUGAUCGAUAUCGACUUGUAAUGUGAAGACAAACUCGAUACUCGCGGUCUUAAGACUUGUAAUGUUUUAUCUUUGUUCGGUCUUUUGAAUUCGGAGACUAAUAUGAUGAAUUGUAUUCGGAGACUAAUCUUCUAUUGUAUUCGAUGAAUCUGAUGUUGCUGUGUGCUGCUGUCUAUAUUCUGUCUAAUAAUAUAUUUUAUAUUCUGUAUAAUAAUAUAUUUUGUAACCUGCGCAAAAAUCAAAAAAGGAAAAAAAACUUAACCUGCGCAAAAAUCAAAAAAGGAAAAAAAAA
rnacentral:lncRNA from 1 species